rnacentral:lncRNA from 1 species
CAAGUGUUCUGCAGACUAAUCCUUCUUGAAAAUUGGGUCCAGUGAAAGAGAAAUUGCCAAGGAUAGCAUCCUCAAUUCAUUUGGGAAAAGUCUGUCAAAUGUGUUUACUAAGAAAAAUGUUAUCAAAAAACAGAUACCAAACAAGCCCACCUUCCAUGUGGUUGGAUUUGUCACGUAAUAUUAGGAUGAGCAACAAAAUAAUUGAGUGUUUAAUCUAUUGCAAUAUUCUUUCUAUGGAAUUCCGGGUUUAUGGAUGAUUGUAGGAUGAAAUUAGAAGAUAUUACAGGGUGUAAUUAGAGAUUUGCUAGUUGUAGAUUAUUUUCUAUAGAUAGAAGAUAGUUUCCUUUCUUGUGGGAUCUGACAGAGUUUUUUAAGGAAUUACCAGGCUGUUGGUAAUCUCCUAUUUCCCUAUAAAUGUAUAUUUCUGCAGAGUAAAUAAUAUGAAAGAAAAUUCUCACAAUUAUCUUCAUGGUAGCAGAGCAAUUCCGCCUGGACCUAUCACUUCUUUGUUAGUUUUAAUCCAGAACCAAUUUUUCUGGGUGCAAACCAAUCUUCUUCUUCAUCCCAACUCGUUACUUCUUUAAGUUUUUGUUUUUGAGUCUAGUCUCUCAUAGGUAUUACUUUUCGCUAUGGCCUCGGAAACUAGCAGCAGCGUUACGAGAACCAUUGUUUGGCCAGGAACUCGUGAGCAAUGGUGGUGCAGAAGGUUCAUCAUUCCUCAUCACUCGGCACAAGUUAACUGGCCACAAUUACCAUCAAUGGGCGAAGGCAGUUCUGAUGUUUAUCACAGGCAGAGGUAAAGAUGAAUAGCUUUUCAGCACUGCUGAAUCGCCUAAGAAGGAUGAUAAAAGAUUCAAGGUUUGGAACACCGAAAACAAUCUGGUUAAGUCUUGGUUGAUCAAUGCAAUGGACACAAAAAUAGGUCAAAAUUUUUUGUUUUAUGAUACUGCACAUGAAAUCUGGAUGGCAGCAAAGGAAACAUACUCUGAUAGUGACAAUACUGCUGAUCUAUUUGACAUCAAGGGAGCCCUACAUGAUCUAAGGCAAGGUGAGAUGACUGUGACUCACUACUAUAACACUCUUAAUCGUUUUUGGCAACAAUUGGAUGUGUUUGAGACCAUGGAUUGGGAGUGCCCAGGAGAUGCUAGUCGAUACAAAAGGAUUAUUGAAAAAGAAAGGGUCUUUAAGUUCCUAUUGGGAUUAGACAAAUCCCUAGAUGAAGUAAGAGGGAGAAUCCUUGGAACCAAGUCUCUCCCUACUAUUCGAGAAGCUUUCUCAGAGGUUAGAAGAGAAGAAAGCAGGAAGAAGCUGAUGAUGGGAACAAGGCCAUUCUCCAAUGUUCAGGAAGGAUCAGCACUCAUCUCCCAAGGCUCCACAAACAUUCAAGAAAGAACUGUCCUUGUUUCUCGAGGAUCUACCUAUGAUGCAAGGCAGAAGAAAGGAAGACCAUGGUGUGAUCAUUGCCGCAGACCAGGUCACACCAAAGAAACAUGUUGGAAAAUACACGGGAAGCCCACUGACUGGAAGUCAAACAAGGAGAAGGAGACACGAGCAUUUGUGGCAGAUCUUGAAGGGAAAGAAAAAAGUACCAAUGAUUCUGCUCUUUUUAGCAAAGAACAAAUAGAGUGGCUGCAAAAGAUGUUUAGCCAAGGAUCAUCCACUAACCCCAUUAUCUCAACUGGAUCCGCUGCUUAGAGAGGUAACUUCCUAACUGCUUUACACACAAAAACUGAAGAUUCAUCAGGUUAGAUCAUCGAUUCGGGUGCCUUCGACCACAUGACAGGUGAUAUAUCAGUACUCCAUGAUUGUAGCCCCUGCCAUGAGAAUUACAAAGUAAGAAUUGCUGAUGGCUCUCUUUCCACCGUGACUGGUAUUAGAAGAGUGAUUAUUUCCGAGACACUAACUCUUAAUCAAGUUCUUUUGGUUCCCAAGCUCUCAUGCAAUUUACUAUCAAUCAGCAAGCUUACCCGAGACCUAAAUUGUGUGGCUAAAUUCUCUUCCUCUCAUUGUUUGUUUUAGGAUUUGGCUUCGGGGAUGAUGAUUGGCAAUGCUAAGGAAAGCAAAGGACUCUAUUGGUUUAGGGCAACUAGAAAACAAGACUCUCAAGCACAUCAUGUAUCUUUCUCUACUCUUGAUCCUGGGUUAAAUCUGUCUUUAGAUUCAAAUAAAGAAAGUACCAUCAUGUUACUGCAUUAUCGCCUGGGACACCCAAAUUUUAUGUACUUAUCAAAGAUGUUUCCAGCACUAUUUAAAAACAAAAAUCCCAAACUUUCCAAUGUGAGAUUUGCCAAUUUUCUAAGCAUUGUCGUAACUCUUAUCCAUCCCAAAAUUACAAACCAUCAAAACCUUUUUCCAUUAUUCAUAGCGACAUUUGGGGACCCUCUCGUGUUCACAAUAUCUCUGGGGCUAGAUGGUUUGUUAGCUUUGUUGAUGACCAUACUCGAGUUACGUGGGUAUUUCUCAUGAAGGAAAAAUCAGAGGUAGGUUCUAUAAAAUCAAAGGUAGGUUCUAUCUUCAAAUUCUUUCAUUCCAUGAUUCAAACACAAUUUCAAGUUAAGAUCCAAGUGUUUAGAACAGACAAUGCCAGGGAGUACUUUAAUGUUAUUCUCGAAAAUUAUCUUCUAGAAAAUGGGAUUAUUCACCAAAGUUCCUGCAUUGAUACCCCACAACAGAAUGGGAUAGCCGAUAGAAAAAAUCAACACCUUCUAAAGGUGGCCGGAUCUAUUAGGUUUACCACUCAUGUCCCAAAACAAUUCUGGGGAGAGGCUGUUUUAAAUGCUACAUACCUAAUAAAUAGGAUGCCUUCUAGAGUCUUGAAAUUUGAUACUCCAUGUCAAACCCUUUCCAAAAACUUUCCUCUAAAUCGGAUUAUAACUGAUAUACCUCUCAAGGUCUUUGGAUGUUCUGCAUAUGUUCAUCUCCCUCCGCAUUAGCGAAGUAAACAUGAUCCCAAGUCUGUCAAGUGUAUCUUUAUCGAUUAUUCCUCUUAUCAAAAGGGGUAUAAGUGUUAUUGUCCUUCCGCUCGGAAAAUCUAUAACACUAUGGAUGUGACCUUUCUUGAGAAUGUACCUUUUUACACCAAAACUCAUAUUCAGGGGGAGAAUCCAGUCAAUCAGCAAGCAGAAUAUCAGUUUUGGGAUGUGCCCGUGCCUGACUUUGGGGUACCAGAACCUAAUUUUUCCAGUGAACCAUCUAUGGCACCAGAUGGACCACCAUCAGAGUCACGUCAGAUUCAAGGAGACAAGGAAUCCAUUGGCAAAGAACUUCAAGUUUACUCAAGGCGUCAGAAUAACCCUAAACUGGUGGACCUACAUCCUGAGCUUCCUCCUAUGCCUUGUCAAACUGAUGACCCAAAAUCAAAUCCCACUAGAGUCAUUCAAGGUAAUAUUGAUUCUCCUGUUAUUACUGAUGACAUUGACUCUAUGGAUGAUCUCAAUAGGCCUGUGGCCCAUAGAAAGGGAGUAAGAUCUUGUACUCAGCAUCCCAUCUCAAAAUUUGUGUCCUAUGAGAAGCUAUCUCCUAAUCUUCGAGCUCUCAUCACAAAUCUGGAGAGUAUUGCUCUCCCAAACUGCAUACAAGAGGCCUUACAGCAUCUUGAGUGGAGAAAGGCAGUGAAUGAAGAAAUACAAGCACUGUAGAAGAAUGACACUUGGAAGAUUACAAAAUUACCACAAGGAAAACGCCUCGUGGGUUGUACGUGGGUCUUCAAUGUCAAAUACAGGGCAGAUGGGAGGAUAGACCGGUACAAGGCAAGGUUGGUGGCCAAAGGAUUUACACAAACCUAUGGGAUUGAUUUUCAAGAAACUUUUGCACCAGUUGCAAAGUUAAAUACAAUCCGAGUCUUGCUCUCCUUGGCAACCAACCUUGAUUGGAAUUUGCAUCAACUAGACGUCAAAAACGGAUUUCUCAAUGGCGAUCUUGAAGAAGAAGUCUACAUGGAGAUUCCUUCCAGGCCUAAAACUCUCCAGUAGCAACGACCUAGUCUGCAAACUUCAGAAAUCACUCUAUGGGCUUAAGCAAUCCCCAAGAGCUUGGUUCAAGAGGUUUACUAAGGUGAUUAAAGGAGAGGAAUUUUCACAAGGGCAAUCUGAUCACACUCUUUUCAUUAAGAGAUCGCCUGGUGGUAAGAUUACAGUUCUUAUAGUCUAUGUUGAUGAUAUAAUUGUUACCGAGAAUGAUGAAGAGGAAAUUUCCCGACUUAAAACAGUUCUAAGUAAAGAAUUUGAGAUUAAAGGUCUAGGAACUUUGAGGUAUUUUCUUGGCAUGGAGGUAGCAAGGUCAAGCAAGGGUAUCUUUGUAUCACAACGAAAGUAUACUCUUGACUUGUUAAAGGAAACAGGAAUGCUUGGAUGUAAACCCUCUAAUACUCCUAUGGAUCCAUUCAACAAGAUAGACUCAAAAGAAGAUAUGGUUGCUAAUGACAAGGGAAGAUAUCAAAGACUAGUUGGAAGGUUAAUCUACUUAUCACACACAAGACCUGACAUCAGCUUUGCAGUGAGUAUGGUUAGUCAAUUUAUGAACAAUCCCACCGAAGAACAUCAAGAAGCCGUAUAUAGGAUACUAUGCUACUUAAAGAUGACUCCAGGUAAAGGAUUAUUCUUCAAAAGAGUGGCAAGCCGUGACGUGGAGAUCUUCUCAGAUGCAGACUGGGCUGGUUCCUUAACAAAUAGAAGGUCUACUUCAAGUUAUUGUACCUAUGUCUGGGGCAAUCUAGUUACUUGGAGGAGUAAGAAGCAAUCGGUUGUGGCACGCAGCAGUGCAGAAGCGGAAGUUUGUGCCAUGGCCCAUGGAAUUUGUGAAGGGAUAUAGUUAAAAAGGCUGCUUGAAGAACUCCAGCUCGCUCCUCACGGACCUAUGAAGUUGAUGUGUGACAAUCAAGCAGCAAUCAGCAUCGCAAAAAAUCCAGUCCAUCACGAUCGAACCAAACAUGUUGAGAUUGAUCGUCACUUCAUCAAAGAGAAGAUAGAGCAAAAGAUCAUAGAAGUGGACUACAUCCCUACACGGCAACAGAUUGCAGAUAUAAUGACAAAGGCUGUUCCUAGAACCCAAUUUGACAUACUUCUCUCCAAGCUGGGAAUGAUUAACAUUCAUUGCCCAGCUUGAGGGGGAGUGUGGAAUUCCGGGUUUAUGGAUGAUUGUAGGAUGAAAUUAGAAGAUAUUACAGGCUGUAAUUAGAGAUUUGCUAGCUGUAAAUAGUUGUAGAUUAUUUUCUAUAGAUAGAAGAUAGUUUCCUCUCUUGUAGGAUCUGACAGAGUUUUUUAAGGAAUUACCAGGUUGUUGGUAAUCUCCUAUUUCCCUAUAAAUGUAUAUUUCUGCAGAGUAAAUAAUAUGAAAGAAAAUUCUCACAAUUAUCUUCACUUUCAAUAAGAAGUAAAGCCACGAGUGAUAGUGUAGAAACUCACUCUAACAAUGGUAUAGCAUAAAGCCAUGAGAGAUAGUACAAAAACUCACUCAACAAUGGUAUAUUCCUCAGACCAUCCAGCUGACCAGUACUCAACACCACUAUAUUCUCCAUAUCCAUUAGCUUCAAUCUUGCUAUGAAGCCAUUGAGUUCCUGAAACAAUGUUCAUAUAGGAGAGGAAGACAUGGUCAACUCAUGGCAAAUAAUUCAUGUUCCAACCAUCUAAAUUAGUUGAUUUAAGGAGCUUUGAGAAUCAAAACAUUGGCAUUACAGGAUACCACAAAUUUAGCAAGUGAAAAACCUUGUCCAUACAUUCAUUUCUUCAGAUUUGGGAGGUUAUCUUAAUCAGUAGUCCAUUUAUAUUCCUUCUUGUAAGAGAAUUCUCCAUUUUCUAGGUAGACACUUGUCUAGAAAAAUAUAGUACCAUAAACUUGUGGUGGCAUAUGACCAUCACAUACACAGCAUCGGAAAGGUAAUUUGACACAAUGAUUCUUAGAGACUGGUGCCUACAACGGUCUGUUGGAGCAUUUGGAAGCUUCUAGGACUUAAAAUCUCAAACAGUGAGAUGUUUUAAAUUUCUGAGUUAGGAAACAAGAGUUGGAAAAUAGAAUUUAAUUUGGUCAAUGGGUAGGAACGUACAACAGAACACAAAGGCUCUAUUUGAAUCAUGGAAAGUGUUGUUACUGUGGCAAAUAUGAAAGAAAACCAAAUACAAUGAAAAUUAUUUAGAAACUUAUAUAUUUUCAACUUUUUCAUUCUUGGUAAAGGAGAGAAAAUAAGAAAACAAAAAAAAAACAAAAAGAAUUGAAGUUGGAGAGAAAAUAAGAAAAAUAAAUUUCAAGAUCCAUGAGAGGAAGGUUCAUCAUCUUUAUUUUCUUUUUCUUGUACUUUUUCUCUAACUUUAUAAAGAGUUAGACGAAGCAUAGGAUUUGUAGGGAGAUUUUUCUUAGGUUACUCUGAUUCAUUUUUUCGUUUUUUUUUUUUUUCUUUUUUUAGUAUUAUAUGAAAUCCUUGACCUUUCAACACCCGUUCCCCAACCCCACCACCCCACCUCAAGUUAACUCAUUUCCAUUUCUCUUAGUCAUUUUUUUUUUUUUUUUUUGAUAGGCAAAUAAGAGUAUGUAUAUUAAUGUCUAUAACUAAGGUGGCAAAAACAAUAUACCGGAAGUUUACAAGUGAUUCAUUUCUCUUAAUCAUGGUAGAGAACAUUGACAAUCAUUGGUUCCAGAUGAAUCGGUGGACUGCAAAAGGAGAAUUAUAUGAUAUAUAUGCUCUUUGAAAGUCAAUAUUUUCAUGAAUAAGUUUUGGAUUGCAGAAGGGGAAAAACAAAUGAAUCGUUUUCUGGAUCAAUAAAAUCACAAGGGCAACUUGAUCCUCUUCAACACAGACUCAGACAAGAGAAUUUCUUGGUAGACUCUUUCUUGGUUGGUGAUAUAAAUUAAGAGACUUUAAGAAUCAUUUCCCAAUAUAAGUGGAAAAGUAUAUCUUCCAUUAAAUACAAAUGCAUCAUAGAAAACAAUGAUAUGGAUAAAAGAUUCAAGCAUAGGGAACUGAACUUCACAGAAGUAGAUGAGAAACUGAAAAAACAAACCAUAUCGAGAAAAAGAGUUGAGAGAAUCAAUAGAGGAUAAAAAUUCAUGAAGAACACAAGCAUACCGGAAGGAAGAUGCAUCAUGGAAAUAAUUCUACCCCCAAUCCAAGGGACCACUUUGAGAGCCCAAUCACUACUUUUCAGUUCAAUAGGAGUACUUGAAAGUUCUAUUCCCUUGUGGCCAGAAACCUCUUGUACAUCUGGAAUAAGCUUAGCACUUUCUGCAUUUAACAGCUUAUAUGGUAAGAAACAGUACGGUCAAGAACAGACACUCAGAAUUUGCACAGUAGAAAAUAAAUGCAUUUGGGAUAAACAAUACUGUGGAUCCAUUGAACCAUAAGACAGAAAAGGUUCCCAGAGUUAAUUGCUAGUCAUCAGAAAUACAAUGCAAGAAAAGAAAAGAUCCCAUCUUCGUGAGUUAGUAUUUCUGCAGCUACUACCACCCCCAAUAUGAAAAACAAGUCGUCUAGCUCAAGUUCUCCAUUGAGUUGUGUCAGAAUGUAUUUUUACAUGCAUGCAAUCAUGAGGUACACAGCAUGAAUAGAAAAAUGUGAUUCUCAAAGAGAAUAUAAUAAGCAAAUAGAUGCCGCAGAAAAGUGAUCAUUGAAACAAUAUAAUUUAAAAGAUAAGUUUAAAGACUCUGCCCUAUUCAGUUCAUUGGUAAGGUCAUACUUUGUCAUCAAAAUGAACUGCACACAGACACAAAUUAACAUGGUCUCUAUUAAGAAAAUUCUGCAUAAAUAGCAUUCCAAUAAAUUGUAGAGAACUAAUUUCCAGGAAAACUGAACCAGUACAUAGUCAUGGAAUAGCAUUACUACCUAGACAAUUCCUGUAUCGUUCCUUGCUUGUAGAUACCAGGUCAGACACUUCAUGUUCUGAAGGCAUCGUAAUUUGUAAAACCUCUCCAUCAGUGCCUCGUGCAUCAAUCUACUUUCAGGAUAGACAAUUAAGGACAAUAAUUAGUAAAUAGGGAGUCUCCCAUGGUGAAGCAGUUUGUCAUUAUAAUGCCUUUUUUGUCUUACUCACCAUCAGCCUUUAAAAAAUGAACAUACCUUCGCACCUCCACCGAGCAAUAAUUGGACAUGAAGACAACGCUUUGGUCUCUUCCAUGAUCCUUCAGUUUUGGAAACUCUAACAGAAACAACUGAAGAUUGAAGUUCAGCAACAUAGUAUGUCAAUAGAUAUCCACCUUUUGUGAAUUCAUAUCCAUCACCAUCAUCUUCAAAGAGAACACCUUCAGCUUUCCCUGUAAUACAAAAAUUUAAUUUAGAUAUGCACACAAAAUAUUGAUACAAACAGUACUCUAAGGCAGAGACUUUAUUAGUUGCCAAUUGUAGACCAUAUUUUCUAUUAUAUUUUCUGCAUAGCCAUAGAAAAGCCUCGAAGGUGUUGAUGGAUUAUAUGUCCAGCGAUCCUCUUUUUCCUUUCUUUUCGUCCCCUUUCCCUUUUUCUUUUCUCUUCCAUCAAACUUCUUAUCAGAGCGUGGCAUCAGUUGCUGGAAGCUUCUGACUGUCUGUAAAUGCUUACAUCAGUAUUACAAAGAUCCUAAAAAAUGCGAAAUCAUGCUUAAGAAUUGUUAAGGGAGUUCAAAUUUGUAGUUUUAGUCCUUUGAGGACAACUCAUCCUUCUUGUACUUUAUGAUUCAUAAUUGAAUGAAUUGCUGUUUGUGGCAAUAAUAAAAAUUAAAAAUUAAAAAAAAAAAAAAAACCCCAGUGAAUAAAUAAAUAGACAAAUAAAAUAAAAAAUAAAUAAAAUUCCAUAAAGUGAAAGUAGCAGUGAAUUCAGUGGAACACCAGACUACAUAACUUAUAUCAGAUAAAAGGUGUAUAAGCCAGCUCACGACCUCUGUUACUACCUCAUAUUAGUACACUAAUCAGUCUUAUAAUUAUCUUUUAAAAAUAUUUUUCGACAAAUUAACUAAUUUCAUUGCUAUUAAUACAUUUCACAGUGAGCACAAGCCUAGAACUGGUCCCAACCCUUCCAAGUAUACUGUAUUUUCCCCUUGUACUGCAUGCUUAUCACAAAAAAUAAAAUAAAAUGAAAAUUAAGAAGCUUGUCCAGAUUUUGAGAGUGUUUGGAGUGUUUCUAUUUCAAGUGUUUUUAGUUUAUGUGUUUUCCAUAGAAGUGUUUUUAAGAGAAUCACUUAUCAACUGCUUCUCCAAGAAGCACAACUGAUUUUUUUACUUUUUAAAAGUAGUUUCUAAAUUUGCCAAACACCUUAUUUUUCUCAACAAAAGCUUUGUAUGCUAAGAGUGCUUUCUAAAACCACUGCCAAAUAAUGGUUUCAUAAGUGAAGCCAAAAAAUGGAGGAAAAUUCAAGGCAGCAACAUCCAUUGAACAUGGCAAUGAUUUCAUAUGUGAAGCCAAAGAUGGAGGAAAAUUCCAGGCUAAAAAAAUGUCCCUAUCAAGGCUCUGAACCAUUUGAAACUUAAAUUUAUAGAUUUCACCAACUAUAGAUUUCAUAUCCUCUAAUCAGAAAAAAUUUAGCAUCAGGAAAUUACCAUGUUCAUCUAGAGCCACAAGGAGUGUUAUGUCAUCAGUUGGUUCAGCUUCACCAACAUGUUGAUGGGGAGGACCCAAAGGAAUGAUCGACCCACCUUGCAACUAUAGAGCUGGUAAAUCCUGAAACAUUAAGAAAAAACAGGAUAGAAUAAUAAAGCAUAAUAAUCGACAAAUGCAAAAGGGAAUCUACAAAGAAUAGCCUAUCAAGAUCUACAGCAUUUUAUACCGGAUGUGAAUCAUCAAAAUCAAAGCUCAGCCAAAUGCCUUUGGGUAAUUUGUGCUGCAAUUCAUCCAUCCCUGAUCAGGUAUAGUGCUGAUAAAGAAAGAAAAGGAUGUCAGUAUCAAGUGCACUGGUUAAAGUAGAUUCCUCUAGUAUUUCAAAACAAGACAAUUCCCAAUAGUUCCCUCUGCUCAAAGGAUCAAAAUGUCCAUAUGAUGGUAUUAGUAUCACAUUAAUAUUUUCAAUUUCCAGUUCCCCCCAUAAUGCAAAUGAAGUGUGUAAUAUAAGGUCAAGCUUUAACAUAAGACACAAGGAACAAUCAAUCCCAACUUACAGAAGACUAGGGGCAAAAAGCAAGUCUUUUUGUUCCAAAACAACUACUUUAGGAAAGGAAAUUUGCUUUCUUCCAUUUUGGAGGAUUAUUAGAAGUUAUUAACAAUAAAAUUUUAUUAUCCUACAAAAUGCAUGCAACUUUACUAGAACCACUUCAGUGAUCUAGCUUCCCAACAAAAUACCUAAGGAAAUCCAUCGAAGGUCAAUGUUGUAUAAUGCGGUUUGAGAUGAAACAGGAAAGACAAUAUAUGGAAUGAAACAAAGCCAACGAGUACACACAAUUUUGUUAUCUUGUAAAGUAAUGGAUAAUGAAGAGAGCAAUAAGCUUGGACCUCUCAAAAUUCUUAUUCCACUGUAUACAAAAACCCAUCUUGUCAUAUGAAAAAAUUAAUAACCUGUUUACAAUACUAUCCGUAGAAUCUAAACAAAGGAAAUAUAGGUAUAAGAGUUGACAGUUCACACCAUGCAUCAGAAAAGUUGGCCCCUUAUUGCAUAAACAGGACAGCAAAUCAAGCAAUAUAAAUACAUAUUAAAACCCACAAUCAACUACAGAUAAUCUCCAAAGUAAGAGAAUCACCUUGCAUAUAUUAGAAGUGGUCCCAAGAGAAAGGAGUUCUCAACUGUCCUCAAGCUGGGAUCCUUUGGAUCUGCAAAAUCAGUUUAUAAACAUUUGCAAUCUCCAUAAAGAGCAAAACAUUCCAUGAAAUCCAUUAAAAUGGUGAUAUGGUAAUUCAACCACAAAGGGCCCACCUGCAAAAAAGGUGGGAGUUGCCACUGGAGUGCCGGUUAUAUGUGCCACAUAAAACAGAGUAUAUAUGUGUGGUAUCAAGCGGUACCGCCUCUUCAAUGCCAAACGGCAAACUUCUUCACACUAAUUGAUAGAAAUAGAGUUAGUUGAGAACGAAAAUCAUUUGGCACAUCAAAGAUAAAAAACUAAAAUGAAAAAGCAUCAUGACAAUUUCUUUUUCUCAUUAUCAUGUAUAUAAGAAACUAUUCUUGCAUUCAUAUUAAGAAAUAGAAAGAUACAAAAAGAAACAUGGAAGAAGAGGUACAUGGCUACUACAAAAAUAGAGAGAAAAUUGAUCUCCUUACAAAAACCAUCCAUGUCCCAACCCAAAACUACAUAUCAAAGAAGGUGAUUGAAUAUUGGCACUCUUUUAUUUGGAUUGAAAGUACUCCAUAUCCAACAUAAAAGGAUGUCUUCAGCCAACUCUAUGUCAGUGCAGUGUUGAAAACCCAAUGUACCAUAUAAUAGUCAUAUGUAUUCUUUAGACAAGUAUGAUUAUUAAGUUUACCAACUCAAACUCAAGUUUAAGUAGGAUGACAACUCUUCUCAUUUUUGGGCCACAAAAGAAGCAAAGUUCUUCUCAUCAUGUUAAGCAUUACUAGAGUUCUGCUCAUGUUUCGCCUUUCCAAGAGCAAUGAAGAAGGUCUAGACACAUCAUUAGAGAACACAAGUUCCAAAUCCACACCAAAUGACUUUCUUGAACCAAGCACAACACCUUAAACCUAUUGAUCCCACUAGUCAAAAUGUGUCACUAAGCAUCAUCCAGCUGGCAACUGCAGGCACAAUUUCUGGAUGGUAGAGGAAAAGAUAAAUUUUAGUGUGAGAUUAGUACCAUGAAUAUAGGAUUUAGGCCUUAUGCUCGAAAGAUAUAGUGUUUAGGUUAAGAAAGAGCUUCUUUCAAAGUGUCUACAACAAAGCAGAAAAAUAAAAUAACGAAAAAGAAUUAGAGAGAAGAUACACAUGGGAAUCUUGCCAAGAUCUUUUAGGUGUCUCAGAAGAAGAGAACUUAACAGACAAAUCAUUGAUGGAUUGCAAAAUAUGUGCAUGAUUGUCUCUGAUAAUUUGCUCCAUCACCACAAUAGUUUUGCUAAUAUAGACGUAUAGGCACCAACUCCUCAAAAUUAAAAAAUUAAAAAAUUAGUUCAUACUACUAGCAGAAAACUUGCUAGACUCUAAAUAGAACUCAAAUCUAAAGAAUAUCAAAUAGAAAAAGAAACCUCUAUGAGCCUUGCUUAUAAACAGAGAUUUUCCAGAUUGCCAAAUCUGAAAACAUAAAUAAUUAAAUAAGACCCAAACUAAAUGCAAACAAAAGAAGUGAUUAACGUAAAGCACAAGAAAAUGCCUUCUGACUUGACAAUAGACAACAAUAUUAAACCAUAACAUUGCCAAAUUCCCCAUACAUUUUUUUUUAUAGGUAAAAUAAGAUUGUAUUGAAAAAGUAGAAAAGACACUCAAAAGGCAAUCAAAAGCACACAGGAAGUAUACAGCUAUUGCCAAAAAGAAGAAUCCACAAAAAAAGGGGUAACAAAAAACACCACCUGCCUUCAUCUAGAGCCCAACCAAUCAAAAAAAUUGAUUAAGGAAGAGGCCCCUUCAUCAACACACAACUUAGUCCAAGCCUAAAGAGUACAAAUAAAGGAGUUUUUCAGCCUUUGAACCUACAACUCCUCAUUAUUAAAGGCAAGCAUGUUCCUUUCCUUCCAAACUAUCCAAAAAAAUACAAAUAGGAGUUGCCUUCCAAGCCUUUUUGCACUUUUUGCCUACAAAGGAUCCAUGCCACCCAAGAAGAAUUUCUCCAACCGACGAGGAUAGGACCCGAGACACUCCAAAGAGAGCAAAGAGCCAUAUGCACCAGCCUUUAUUCAGUCAGUAGGCGGGAGCUUGUUCUUUCAGUCUUAUCCGAGCUAGGGUGAAGAACGAAAAGUCGCAUCAAAGAACCUAGGGAAAAGACUUAGUGAAUAAGAAUAAAAGAUUGUGUGGUGCUUGCUUUUCUUUCUCAAACUAUAAGUUCGAAGCAGCAUGGCACCCUAGCCUUAACAUAAUGAAGCAGAAUGUGAUCAAUCGUCUCAUGGCAAAUGAAGCAUCUGUUUGCUAAAGACCAUCCUCUCCUUUUCACCUGAUCCAAAGUUAAGGCCUUGCCCCAUGUUGUUUCUCAAAUGGAAAAACCCGCCUUAGGAGGAACGCACGGGCUCCAAAUGAUACUCCUUGGAAAAAGGACUGCAUCACUUGGCUCCAAAACAUCAUAUAUAGACUUAACAGAAAACUUCCUGCACUUUGUCACUAUCCAAAGCACCCUAUCUUCCAAGUCUUGAGACACCCUCUUCUGUUGGAUCUUUUUAUAGAAACGUCUCCACAAUAUCCACAUCCCAAUCAUUAAAAGUCCUAGAGAACGUUGGAUUCCAACCACCACCCUCAAUCAUGGAGUCCCAUACGUUUGCACUCGCACCCCUUUUGAGGAGGCAAGUGCAAAUAUAGAGGGAAAAAAACACACAAGGCCUCGUCACCAUACCAUUUAUCCUUCCAAAAACUCACCCUUCGACCAUUACCCCCUUCAAAAGCAAUCUUGUCACUCAAGAGAUUCCAUUCAUUCCUUAUAGCUUUCCAAAGGCCCACCCCAUACCCCACUCUCACUUCAUGGGAGCACCACCCCCCUUUUUCUAUUCCAUACUUCCCACUAAUAAUUUGCUUCCAAAGAGCCCCCUUUCAUCCGCAAAGCGCCACCACCAUUUACAAAGAAGAGUCCUAUUAAGCAAAGAGAGACAUCUAACACCCAAACCACUCUUCCUCUUCUCCGAGCAAACAAUCCCUCAAUUUACUUAGUAGGGCUUCCACACAAGAGCCCUCCCACCCCAAAGGAGUUUGAAUUUGCUCUAAUCUCAACCUAACCGACCUAGGAAUGGUCAACAAGGACAUAAAAUAAAUAGGCAUACUACCGAGAGUGCUCUGAAUCUGUGUGAUUCUCUCUCUUUUAGAAAUGUAUUGUCUUUUCCACAUAGCUAACCUUUUGCGAAACCUCUCCUCCAUCCCAUCCCAAGCUAUCGUGGAUUUGACUAGAGCACCCAAAGAAAGACCCAAGUGAGAAGAAGGAAGCACAACCACCUCACACCCAAGCUCUAAGGCCAAAACCUCUAAAUUUUCCACCCUACUAAUUGGUAAUAACUCACUUUUAUCCAAAUUGAUUUUCAACCCUGAAAUAACCUUGAACCGCAUUUAACAACCAGCUUAAGAAAACCAUUUAAUUCUGUGAAAUCUCACAAAAUACAAGAGUAUCUUCAACAAACAACAAAUGUGAUAUUGGGAGCCCUCACCACCCCUCCUUAACAUCCUGCAAACAGACACAAAAAUCCCACUCACUACCCUCUUAAUAAGGCAACUGAGAGCCUCCAUACCAAUCACAAACAAAUAGGGCAAAAGAUGAUCCCCCAAGAGUUAGGAAAGAAGCCAGAUGGGGUACCAUUGACAAGGACAAAAAAUCUAGUUGUAGAAAUGCACCAUUUUAUCAAACUAAUCCUCUUAUCCCCAAAGCCCAUUUUUUGUAGCAUAAGUAAGAAAUUCCAAUUUACAUGAUCACAUAACUUCUCUAUAUUUAAUUUGCAAAGCACGCCACACUCCUUCCGUUUUAACAAAGAGUCUAAAGACUCAUUAGCAAUUAAGACCACAUCCAAAAGUUGUCUCCCCUCUAUGAAAGCAUUUUACAAUGAAGAAACGACUUUGCCCACCACCUUCUUUAGCCUAUUAGCUAACACUUUUGCCAACAUCUUAUACAAAAGUCCCACCAAAAUAGUAGGCCUAAAGUCUCUAAGAUCUUCAACAUCCCCUUUUAUUGGGACUAAAACCAGAAAAGUAGCAUUCAAGCAUUUUACAAAUCUACCCUGCUCAUGGAAUUCUCUAAAGAAUCCAAUCACCUCCUCCUUCACAAAAUCCCAACUGAACUGGUAAAAUGUCAUGGAGAACCCCUCAAGACCAAGCACUUUAUCCCCACUCAACUGUGACAGGGCGUAGGAAACCUCUUCAAUUGUGAAUUACUCCCCUCAACAUUGCAGCAUUCUCACCUUCUAACCUCAUCAAAAGUCAUCCCACUCAAACUAAGACACCAAUCCUUAGGAUCAAUCAACAAAAUUUGAAAUGCCCAAGCCACCACAUCCUAAAUUUCAUUUUCCUUCGAAAGCUAAGUACAAUUUAUCUUUAUUUUAGCCAAAUAGUUCCUUUGUCUGAGAGCAUUAGCCAUCCAAUGAAAGAAACUUGUGUUUCUAUGACUCUCUUUCAGCCACACAUCUCUUGAUUCUUGUCUCCAAGACCCAUUUUUUGAACUCCUCCCUCGCCUCCUUUCUAGAUUCCACCUCCUACACCAUUAAGGCUCUCAUAUUCUCCUGCUCAUCCCAAAAAGACACUUGAUGAAGAGCCUAAAGAAAAAGAAUAUUUCUUUUCUUAACUAAAAUCGAUUAUUUACACAGCUAUACAGUUUCCUUCUUAUAGGAAAGUCUAAUGCACAAAUUUUUUUUAUAUAUUUUGUUUAUAGAUAAAUAGGAAAAUAUAUUACAAAGGGCUGCCAAAAGAGCAGCCCAAGGUAUACAAAAAGUAAGCAGCUAUCACCAACCUCCACCACAAUAAAACCAAGUUACAAAAUAAAAGGAAUACAACUAGUCCACCCUCACCAAUGGCCCAACCAAUCUAGAAAGCUGAAAAAAGUUUGAGGAACAUCAUCUAAGCACCCCUUUGCUUCCGACCAAAGAUAAAAAACAAAUGAACUUUUUAGCCUUUGGAUAGAGAGCUCUUCCCCCUCAAAGGCAAUUCUAUUUCUCGCCUUCCACACUAUCCAAAACAAACAUAAAGGAUCCGCUUUCCACACCUUCCUAUGCUUGUUGUCCUCAAAUGGCCCAUGCCACCCUAGAAGAGUUUCUCUAACCGACAAAGGUAACACCCAAGAUACCCUAAAAAGGGCAAACAAUAGCUCCCACAAGACUCUUGUCUUUACAAAAGGGACAAGGAGAUGGUUUAUGGAUUCUUCCUUAACAUGACUAAAAAAUAUCUAUUCGCUAAAGACCACCCCUUUUUCUAAACUUGAUCCAAAGUUAAGGCUUUUCCCCAAGUCGCCUCCCAAGCGAAGAAACUAACUCUAGGGUGCACCCACUCCUUCCAUAUGUUACUCCAAGGAAAAGAAAUCAAAGUCCUCGACUCCAAAGCCAUAUAAAGCGACUUCACAAUAAACUUCCCAUUCUUAGUCUCUAUCCAACGCACCCUAUCUUCCUCAUCCCUGUUCACCCUCAUCCCAUCCAAGCAAGAAAGAAACCUCUCCACGCUUCCCACUUUCCAAUCAUUGAGGGGUUUAGAGAAAGGCAAGCUCCAACCCCCUUCCCAAGGAUAGAAAAAUCUCAAACAUCCUCCACCCACAUAUCCUUAGAACAUGCUAAGGAAAAUAACGACGGAAAAGAGUCCUGUAACGGACCAAUCCCACACCACUUGUCCUUCCAAAAUUUGACCCUUUGACCAUUACCCGCCUCAAAGGAGAUUUUACUACUCACAAGCCCCCACUCCUUUCCUUAUAGCUUUCCAAACACCUACACCAAACCCUUACCUCCCUAAAGCACCAACCCCCUUCUUCUUCCCCAUACUUCCCACUAAUAACACACUUCCAAAGGACCUCUUGUUCAAUAGCAUAGCGCCAACUCCACUUGAUCAGAAGAGCCUCAUUGAGAGUGGAAAGACUCUUCACUCCCAAGCUCCCUUUCCUCUUGUCAAGGCAAACUAUAUCCCACCGCAUUAGAUGUGUUUUCCGCUCAAGAGCCCCACCACCCCAAAGAAAGUUCCUCUGAAUCUACUCCAAUCUCAAUCUAACGGGCCUUGAAAUGCACUACAAGGACAUAAAGUAAAUAGGCAAACUAGACAAGGUGCUUGAAAUAAGAGUAAUCCUCCCUCCUUUGGAUAUGUAUUGUCUUUUCCUCAUGGCUCAUUUUCUUCGAAACCUCUUCCACGCCACCCCAAACCGCUACAGACUUAAAAGGGGCACCAAGUCAGAGUCCCAGAUAAGAGGAUGGAAGCCCACCCUCCUUACAACCCAUCUCAAGAGCCAACUCCUCAAUAUCAUUCACCUCUCCCACUGGAAUUAACUCACUCUUCUCCAAAUUUAUUUUCAGCCCGGAAAUAGCCUCAAACCACAUUAGCAAUCAGCUUAGAUACGUCAUCUGCUCCUCAGAGGCUUCACAAAAUACUAAGGUGUCAUCCGCAAACAGCAAAUGGGAAAUAUUCACCCCUUCUCCACCCUUACCCCUCACUUGGCAGCCCUUUAAGAGGCCCUUAUUGACUACUCUUUUUAUCAAACAGUUGAGUGCCUCCAUAGCUACAACAAAUAAGUAGGGUGAUAGGGGAUUCCCUUGUCUUAAGCCUCUAAAGCUCUGAAAGAAACCAACUGAAGUGUCGUUGAACAAAACAAUGCACCUUUUCAUCCACCUAAUCCACUUUUCACCAAAACCCAUCUUAUGCAAAACCGAAAGCAAAAAAGUCCAGUUCACAUGAUCAUAAGUUUUCUCUAUAUCAAGCUUGCACAAAAUGCCACAAUAGUUAUUUUUCAAAAUAGAAUCGAUGGCCUCAUUAGCAAUAAGAGAAGCAUCCAAAAUUUGUCUACCCUCCACAAAAGCAAUUUGAGCCUCUAAGAUCACUUUUCCAACCACCUUUUUGAGUCUAUUGGCCAACACCUUAGCCAACCAUUUAUACAAACCACCCACCAAACUGAUUGAUCUAAAAUCCCUUAAAUCCUUCGUUCCCCUUCCCUUUCUUUGGGAUUAACACUAGAAAGGUUGCAUUCAAGCUCUUCACAAAAAACUUCCAUUCUCGUGAAACUCCCUAAAGAAAAUGCACAAAAUUAGGAAAGAAUAAAUAAUGUCCAGCUAAAAUCCCUAAUUUACAGGGUUGACUAAACAACAUAAAUACAAAAAUGUAUACAACAACUAUCAUAUCCCUCAAAUCUCAGUUAAUUGAACCAAAUCUUUAAUUUCUCAACACUCCCCUCAAGCUAGUUUAAAAAUAUCUUCCAUAGUCAGCUUCCCAACUAAACUUUCAAAUUGCUUCCCAUGUAGUCCCUCUGUCAGUAUAUUAGCAAUUUGUUCAGUUGUUGGAAUGUAUGUCAUGCAAAUCAAGUCAUUGUAAAGCUUUCUUUGAUAAAGUGCUUAUCCACUUCUACAUGCUUAGUCAUGUCAUGAAGAACUGGAUUGUGUGAUAUUGAGAUAGUUGCUUUAUUAUCACAGUAAGCUUUCAUGGGAGAUGGACUAGGAAUCUUCCAUAUUUUUAAAAGGCUCAAGGUGCACCAAGGCACAAAGUCCUCCUAGAGCCUAAGGUGCAAGGUGCAACUAAGGCGCAGACUUAAGUGAAGUGAGGCACACCCUAGUUUAUAUAUGUUAAUGCUUCUUCUUUUUCUUCUCUUCUUCCUCUACUCAAUGGCUUCUUCUUCUUCUUUUGCACGCAUGAGACAAGGAACCCUAAUAUGGGCUGAGCCUUUUUUUUAUCAAAUUUUUGUUGGGUCAAAACUGGUUAGGCCAUUUUUUCUUAAGCCUUAAUCUAAGCUGGACCUUUUUUUAAAUAUAUAUAUAUAUAUAUAUAUAUAUAUAUAUAUUGGGUCAAAACCCCAUUCUAGGUUGGGCCCUUUUUUUAUUUUAUUUUUAUUUAUUUUUAUUUUGUUGGGGCAAAAUGCAACAUUUUGGGCUAUAGAUGUUUUAAAGGGAAAAAGGGCCAAAAUGAUGUUGUUUUGGCUUCUUUUUCUUUAAAAUAUGUUACAGCUCAAAACAUUGCGUUUUGACCUAAUUUUUUUUUUUUAGAAAAAAAAAAAAAAACCCAGAUUAGGGCUCUCUACUCCGCCUCUGCGACUCGUUUAAGGUUUGUGGAGGAAAAAAAAACAAAAGAAAAAGAAGAAGGAGGGAGAAGAAAAAACAUACCUUUUUUAGGCUUUGCGCCUAGCCGAAGAAGAGCGCCUUGCGCACCUAAGCCGCACCUCCUUCAAUAGGCAUUGCCUGGAGUAAGGUGAGGCACUGAUAGUUUCAGGAGCGCCUGAAACAUGCCUUUCACAACUAUGGAAUCUUUAACUCUUCAUCUAUCCUUUUGAUCCACAUUACUUCACAAAUCCCUACCUCCAACAAAGGUACAAUCACUUAUGUUGAUUUUUUAUCCAUAAUAUUUCCUACAUCAGUAUAGACUUCAACUUGUAAGUGGCCACAUUUUCUAAAUAAUAACCCUCUUCCUGGUGUCCUUUUCAAGUAUCUUAAAAUCCUGUAAACAACGUCAAAAUGUUUUGGUCCUGGAGAGUGCAUAAACUGGCUCACCAUGCUAACUGCAAAGGCUAUGUCUAGGCGUGUAGGAGACAGGUAAAUUAACCUUCCAACUAGUCUUUGGUAUUGUUCUAUAUUUUUCACAUCCUUAGGUUUGGCAGUGUGUAACUUCAAGUUAGGCUCAAUGGGCGUUUCAGCUACUUUACAACCAAGCAAGCCUGUCUCACCAAGUAAAUCAAGUACAUAUUUCCUAUGAUUAACAAAGAUACCUUUCUUAGAUCGCGCAAACUCCUUUCCAAGGAAAUAUUUCAACAUACCCAAGUCCUUGAUCUCAAAGUCUUUUGCAAGUCUCUUCUUUAGCCUUUCCAAUUCGUCAAUAUCAUCAUCUGUUAGAAUUAUCUCAUCAACAUAAACAAUUAGAAUUUCAACUUUUCCAUCCUUUGAGUAUUUAUAGAACAAAGUAUGAUCUAUCUGACUUUGCUGAAAACCAUAACUGGUCAUAGUUUUUCUAAAGCAUUCAAAUCAAGCUCUCGGGGACUGCUUAAGCCCAUACAAGGACUUUCUUAAUCUGUAGACUUUGUCACUCCCAUGUUUCUCCUCAAAGCCUAGUGGUAAACUCAUAAACACUUCUUCUUCCAAAUUGCCAUUGAGAAAGGCAUUUUUUACAUCCAGCUGGUACAAGGUGCAACUGGAGUUAACUACUAAGGAAAAUAAACUCUAAUAGAGUUUAUUUUUGCAACAAGAGCAAAUGUUUCCUGAUAGUCAAUCCCAUAAGUCUAUGUAAAGCCUUUCGCCAUAAGUCUUGCCUUGUACCUUUCUAUACUUCCAUUAGAAUUGCACUUUACGGUUGUGGACCCGCAUUUUUAAUGAUGUCGUUCCCACUCGAUCGGCGAGACUCGCUUUUCGUUUAUUUAGGUGAAAAAUAUGAUUUUUAGAAAAGACUUGGAGUCGUCACUUACUUUUAUUUAUUUUUAAAGGGGAAAACAAGUAAGAAUAAAACCCCUAAAUGGACUCCUGAUUUUUUUGGAAAAGCUGUCUGCAAAAAACCUGAGUUUGGGUUCGGGGAUCAGGUUACUUAUUGGGAAGGUACGGUAAAGACCGUAGCACCCCUCUAAGCCCCUAAAAAAAUGGGUCUCUACUAAAUAAGGUGAACCAGACAUGACAAUUAACUAGAAGAUCAAUGGAUACCAAAAUGAUCAUAAUUCAAAAAUAAGUCAUGAUGAUGAAAUGAUAAACGAAGUGGGAAUGAGAGUGUACCUUAGUAGUAGGUAAUAAAGCGCUAUCAUGAAAAUAAGAUUAGUGUACAAUGACAAGUGUAAAAAAAAUCUCAUACAAAACCAAAUCAAAAUCCAACAAAAUGGAGAGCACAACUUACUUGAAUUAUUUUCGAAAAGAAUGUUAUGAAUGUCGGGCCCCCACCAAAGCCCAAUUAAUAUUUGCUAUGAAUUAAUUCUCAUAAAUUCCAUCAUUUUGGAAUUAUGAAAGCUUAUUCACUUUAAAAAAAAAAAAUUUGAAAAAAGGAAUUUUCAAAAUUAAAUUUGAAAUUUCGGAAGUGUGAAUUUUAUUUUAAAAAAAAGUGAGUUUGAAAAUUUUGGAAGUCUCUUUGAGAAUGGUAUUUCAAAAUAAAUAAAUAAAAAAUAAUAAUUUAAAAUAAAAUUAAAUAAUAAAAAAAUAAAUAAAUAAAUUUGGAAUUUUGGAAAAUGGGAAUUUUGAGAAUGGAAUUUUGAAAAAUUAAAUUAAAAAAAUUGAAAAUUUGGAAGGAUUAUUUUUGAAAAAUGAAAUUUCGGAAAAUUAAAUUUUAAAAAUUGUAAAUUUGGAAAAUUGGGACUUCUAGAAUGGAAUUUCGGAAAAUUAAACUAAAAAAAAAAAAUGAAAUUUUGGAAAAUUAUUUCGAAAAUAGAAAUUUUUGGAAAAUUGGAAUUUUUGAAAAUCGAAACGUGAAGAUCAAAGUUUUGAAAAUUAUAUUUUUUUUUUUUAUGUAUGAGAAUAAAAAUAAAAAUAAUAAAUAAACAGAUGGUACGUAGUUGGUGGGAAUGGAGGCCAAUCUUCACUAUUUUCCAAUAGCCUCCGAAAAUUGAAUUUGACAAAGGAUAACCAAAGUGAUAAACCGAAACCUUAGAUCUUACAAGCACUGAAACUUUAAUAACAUUUAAUCUUAAGAUAAACUUAAUCAAGUACUAAAUAUUAUGUGACCUUUAAAAUAGUACAAACGAUACGUAUCAACUAAUAUUGACGAUUUGGAGUCAUAAAUUUAAUCGACUAACUAAACAAAUGAAUAAUAAAAAAAACAAACACAUAAAUAAAAUUAAUCAAAAACUAAAAUGAACUAUUUUUUAAGCACAAAAUGACAACAUGGGGAUAGAUUAAACUAAUAGCCUACAAUUUGAAAGCACAUAAUUAAUAGAAAAAUGGAAUUAAAAAAAAUCUUAACAUAAACUAAACAAUAUGAAACCAAUCGAAUUAAUUAAAACUCUAAAGAAUAUCAACUAAACCAGGAUCAAUCAAAACUAAAAUAAUUCUUUUUCUUUAUUUAUUUUAAAACAUGAAUAUAUCAACGCGAAAUGGAAUAAAUUAACCAACUUAAAUUCUAAAAUUAAUAAACUAAAAGAAUGAAUCAUGAAUUAAAUUUAACAAACUUUAGAUAUGAAAAGAUGUGACAUGGAAUCAAUUGAACUAAUAAACUGAAUUUUAAUAACAUCUAAACUAAAAGAUAAAUUAAAAUUAAACUAAAAGAAAUUAUGAAUUUCCUAAUUGAGAACCAAAAUAGUGCCAAUCAAAAUUCUAAAUUUUUAACCAUUAUCACAAAUUAUCCAAACUCUAAAAAAAUUAUGACUUUUCCAUUAUCAACAAAAUUGCUCAAACCAAUACUUGGAAAUAAUAAUAAUAAUAAUAAUAAUAAUAAUAAGUAAAUAAAUAAAAAAAUCUAAUUUGUCGAACUAAGAAAAUAAAUUGUAACUACAUUAAACAUAAAUCAUAAUUUUCAAGCAAGAAUGAUAAAUCACUAAUAAUUAAUUUAGUUAGCUAAGAAAAAUUAAAAAUUAACAUCUAAGCUAAAUAUGAAUUUACAAUAAAAUUUUAAAAUGCAUAGGUCGAAUGGGAAUAACACAAAACUAACUUUAACAAAUUAAAAACAUGAAUACAUUAACAUUGGGAAUGAGUACCUAAAUAUAUAUAAAAUUCUGAAAUAAUUAUGAAUGGCAUUGAAUAGUCAUGAAUCAAAAUUCAAACAGGAAGAAUUAAUUUACCUUUCUCAAAGAUGCGUGGGCUACUCUCCAACAAAAGUGACAGUACGAUUUAUUUAUUUAUUUAUUUAUUUAUUUAUUUUAAAGUCAAUUCUAUGAUGCAUGUUGUGAUAGUUAUGGAUCAAUCAAGACUAAAAAAACUAAUAGUUUAAGGAACAAAAAUGAAUUAAUAUGGAUAUUCCAAGUUAAUAACAAAUAAUUUUAUGAAGUGCACACACCGAGUAAUCUAAAUUAAUAAUAAUAAUAAAAUAAAAUAAAAUAAAAAACCUCAAAAAUCUUAAAUUAAACAAAAAUUAAUAGAAACAAAUUUAAUGGCUUGCCAACAUACAUAUAUUCACAUAAGAUUAAUUAAACUAGAAAAUAAAAAAUAAAAAGAACUUAAAAUACAUAACGGGAAUAAUACAAAACCAAAUUUAACAAUUUAAAAACAUGAAUAUAUUGGUAUUGGAAAUAAAUAACUAGAUAAAUAAAAUUCUGACAUAAAUUGAGUUGAAUAGUCAUGAAUCCAAAUGAAAAUAGGAAAAAUCAAUUUACCUUGGUCAAAGACGCGUGGGCUACUUUUGUUAGUGACAGUAUGAUUUUUUUAAAAUCAAUUCCACCUGGUGUGGUGGAUACCAUGCACUCUUUAGAAUCAGCAAGAGAAAUUGGGUGUGUGAUGCUCUCAAGAGUCUGGUGCGUGCGUUCCCUUUUCAGAAAUGAUGAUGGUGCUCCUUCCAAUACCGAAAAUGCAAGAUGGAGAGGAUCUUCUCCCUUUCUUGGGGAACGGUGCAACCAGCCGAUGGUUCGUCUCUUAAAGACGUGAAUUUCCCCUGGAUUAUGUGGUAGAUGAUGCGGCCUGUGUAUGCGUUCACUUGCAGGUGUGGCUGCGACUUUCGGGCCCCAGAAUGAUGCGGCUAGCCUUCCUUAAUCCGGUGAUCAGAAAAAAAAAAUCUCUCUUUCCUAGCAGCCCGCUCCCCCCUCUUUUUUCUUUCUUUUUUCUUUUUUUCUUUUUCUGUUCUCUCUGUUUUUUUUCAAACCUCUCCCACUUCCUUACUUCCCUCAAACUCUUCAGUCCCCCUUUUAUCCUCUCUUGAGAAACUCUUCCUUCUCUCUAGAAAAUGGCCCCCGCCUCCUUUUUCAUGCAGACUCCUCGAAAACCUCCUUUUGCAGCUGAUCAUUUUCUUCCUCUUCAAGACUUCCCUUCUCUGCAUUUUCCUGUACCCCCUCUUCGAAACUCCCCCUCACCUUUUUUCAAGCUCUUCUUCGUUCCAUGCAGCCUGCUGACCCUUCCCUUUUUUUUCAAACCCUACUCCACCAUUUUAUUUUACAUAUUUUUUAUGUGGCUGCCCAACUCCCAUACCCUUCCAUUUGCUUAUUAUUAUUAUUAUUAUUAUUAUUAUUAUUAUUAUUAUUAUUCCCUUUUUUUUUUAGUUAAUAAAAUGAGAAAAUAAAAAAAUAAAGAUAAAGAUAAAUAAAGAUAAAUAAAUAAAUAAAAAUGAAGCUAAAAUAAGAUGAAUAACAUAAUGAUAAAGAGAACAUACAAUAAAUGAAUACUAAUAAUAAUAAUAAUGAUAAUGAUACUAACAAUAAUAAUAAUACUAAUAAUAACAAUAAUAAUACUAAUAAUACUAGUAAUAAUAAUAAUAAUAAUAAUAAUAAUAAUAAUAAUAAUAUAAGAUCCCCAAUCACCUGCAAUUUUUUUUUUUUUUUUUGAGAAUAAAUAAGUAGAUGGAUAAGUGAAUAAAGCAAGAAAAAUAAAUAAGUGCCCAAUGGACGUAACAAUAAUCUAAACAUUAAACUGUAACACAGAUAAAAAUAUAAAAUAAAAAUAGACAAGAUAUCAAAUUGACACAAUCACAAUAAUUGAAAAUUCAUCCCAAGCAAUCAAAAAAUAUAAAAAAUAAAAAAAUCAAGCCAAAUACUCGUCUAAUCUUAAAAUAAAUCAAUCAAGAAGUUAGUCUUAAAGAAUUAAGCCUAAAGAAAACAUCUAAGUGACCCAGGUAACCUAAGUGGAGAGUGUCAAGGUGAAUUAGGUUGAAAUUAAAUUAAGGAGGUGUCUAAGUGAUUAAAAAAAAUGUGCUAAGUGACCUAGGAGUGGACCUAAUGGGCCAAGUGCAAAAGUGGGCCUAAGAUGCCGCCCAAUGGGUCAUCAGAGAAUUAUCAUAAAGUAUCAAAUGGACACAUAAUAGAACAUUUGCUAGUAAGACAAAAUAGAGGGUCUACAACGGUAAACACCCAUUUGCAACCCACUAUCUUUUACUCUCUUGAAAAAUUUGCAAUUUCCCAUGUACCACUUCUUCUAAUAGCAUUCAUCUCUUCCAUAACUACCAAUUUCCAAUUCAGAUCACCAAGGGCUUCCUGUAUAUUUCUUGGAACAAACAAGCGAGAGAUCUUAGAGAUAAAGGCCCUAUGAUUUUUUGACAGUUUUGUAUGAGAUAGAUAUUUGGCAAUAGGAUCCAUAGUGCAAGAACGGGUUCCUUUUCUAAUUGCUAUGGGCACAUCUAGCUCUAAAGUAUUAGAAGGAAUAGAUGAAGAAAUAGGAGGAUUUAGAGUACUUGAAAUAUUUAGAUGACCAUCUCCCAUAGUUUUUUAUUGAUCCUAUGUUGGUAUGAUAGUUGGGUCUUGUGCUUGAUGAUGAAGUUUCCUUCAAGUAUAAACCUGAAACUCAAAAUUCAAAUGAUUUACAUUCAUUUGUAGUACUUCUCCCCCUAUUUGUGAAACAUCUAUACUAGGCAAGGACAAGCAAGGAUUUUCUAUAUCUGGAACAUUUAAUUCCUUAGUCUGAGUUUCUAAAUUAUUAGGAUAAGAAUACUUUGGUAAAAUAGUAUUCAGUAUAGGGACAAAAAUAUCCAAAAAUUAUCUUCUACUCCUUAAUUCUCCUCCCGAAUUUUUUUUUUUUAUGAAAGUAAGGUUGAUUUUCUAAAAAAGAAACAUCAAUACUAAUAUGGAAUUUUCUGGUUUGUGGAUUAUAACACUUGUAUCCUUUAUUUGUUUGGAGCAGAGCCCACAAAAAUACAUUUUUCAGCUCUAGGGUCAAGUUUAGAUUGAAGUUUACUGGGUAUGUGAACAAAAAUAGUACAAUCGAAGACCUUUAGAGGUAAAUCAAAGUAUAUUCGUGUUUUAGGGGAAAAAAAUUUAAACACCCGAGAGGUGUCAUGUACUUUAAAACAUGAGUCGGCGUCCUGUUAAUCAAAUAGCAAGUGGUUAAAACAACAUCACCUGAUAAAUAUUUUGGAACAUUCAUAUAAAACAUUAUGGCACGUGCUACUUCGAGUAAAUGUUUGUUUUUACACUUAGCAAUGUCAUUUUGUUGAGGGGUAUCUCGCCAUGGUGAUUGAUGCUGAAUUCCUUUUUCUUUCAAAAAAUUUCUCAAGAGCUCAUUAAAAUAUUCUGAUCCAUUAUCAAAUGAAGAAUACAUAUUUAUCUUUGAAAUUGGUUUUCAACCAUAGUGUAAAAAUCUUUAAAUAAUUUCUCAACUGAGCCAAACUCUUUCUCACCAUGACUUUGCCAAACACUUCUUUGUUCCAUAUUUUCAAAUCAGCCUUUAAAGCUUUCAACUUUGCUACUAGAACAAACCUACAAGAGCCACUGAAAAUAAACCCCUUCCACCAACUCUUUAGCAAUUCCGCAAACUCCUCCUUCUUCAGCCACAUAUUUUCAAAGUGGAAAGAAACAAACCCCCUCCUUACCCCUCCUCCAUCCAACAAAAUAGGAAAAUGAUUUGACACUGAUCUAGGUAAGACACUCUACACCAUCCCACUAAAGUGACACUCCCGGUCUCCAGAAACUAAAGAAAGGUCCAAUCUUGACUUGGACAUACUAUUCAAUCCACCACUUCAAGUGAGAGAGCCCUUUUGUAAGGUCACAUGAACAUGAUCAAGUAUUUUAAUUUCUCCUAACCAAGUAGGUUCAAUUGUCAAUUUGUCUAAAUGACCUUCACAUCUUUAGACUUUUCAUAUAUAUAGGAACUAUACAACAAGAUUUCACAGCAUUUCCACUAAUUACAAUAGAUAUUUUCUCCCAAUCCCUUAGCUAUACACACUACUCCUAUAUGGAAAACCCAACUGUACAAAAUAAAGAUAAUAAAGACCUAUCGCAUAUAGAGAAAAAUAGGGAUUGAUGCGGGCAGAUCAAGAAGCAACAAUUUGUCAAUAAUGAACUGAUGACGGUGUUGGGUAAGAGCCUUUGUAAACACAUCAGCAGUCUGAAGAACGGUGGAAAUGUGAGGAAGAGUAAUCACACCCUCAUCAAAAGUUUCACGUAUGGAAUGACAAUCUACCUCAAUAUGCUUGGUCCACUCAUGAAAUACGGGGUUAGCAGCAAUCUGAAUAGCACUCGUGUUGUCAGCAUGAAGCGGAGUAGGCUAGAGCUAAGGAAAACCAAGUUCGGCUAACAACCCAUGAAGCCAUACAAUCUUAGAGCAAGUAGAGGACAUAGCAUGAUACUCGGACUCUGUAAAGGAUUUUGAAACGUGAGCCUGCUUCUUGUUCUUCCAAGAGAUAAGAGCAUUUCCAAGAAACAUGCACCACCCUAUGACAGAAUGACGAGUGUCUGCACAACUUGCCUAAUUAGCAUCACUAUGACUGGCCAGCAAAAGAGAAGAACCAAUCGGAAAGAACAAUCCACAUCAAGAAGUCCCCUAGAGAUGGCGAAUGAUUCGUCGAACAGUAGCAAGAUGAGGGUGCCGAGGCGCCUGCAUAAACUGACUAACCUAUUGGACAGUAAAGGAAAUAUCAGGUCUUAUAAUCGUCAAAUAGUUUAAGCUCCCAACCAAUCACUGGUAAGAUGAGGGAUCAGAAAGUAGUUCCCCUUCCUCUCGUUGCAAUUUCAAAUUCACCUCCAAAGGUGUAAGAACCGAAUUUCCAUCCUGAAGACCAGCCAAAGUAAUCACCUCCUGUGUAUACUUGUGUUGAUGUAGAUAUGUACCUUAUAGUGUGGUUUGAACCUCAAGGCCGAGGAAAUACUACAUACGGCCAAGAUCUUUCAUAUGAAAGGAAGUUGUGAGGUGUCGUUGUAACUGCUCAAUCAACUGGGAGUCCGUUCCUGUAAUCACGAUAUCAUCCACAUAAACCAAAAGCACAACAAUCCCGAUAGCAGUCUUGCAGGGAAAGAGAGAUGAAUCAAAAUUGUUUUAAAAAAAUGCAAAUCAAGAAGAGUGAAACGAAACUUAUCAAACAAAGCACGCGGUGCCUGCUUUAAGCCAUACAGAGACUGUUUCAAGUGACAAACAUCUGAAGAUGGUGUAGAAAACAGACCUUGGGGAGGAGUCAUAUAGAUGUCCUCCUUGAGAUCCCAAUGUAGAAAAGCAUUUUUAACAUCCAUCUGUAAGAAAGCCCAGCCUUCAGAGGCAGCAAUGGCCAGGAUAGUCCGUACCGUAGUCAUCUUAGCAACAGGUGCAAAAGUUUCCGCAUAAUCCACACCAUACUCCUAUCGAUUUCCAAAGGCCACUAGGCGAGCCUUAUACCUCUCUAAGGAUCCAUCAAAUCAAUACUUAACAUAAUAGACCCAUUUACACCCAAUAGGUUUCACACCAAGAGGACAAGACACAAUAUCCCAAUUGUGAUUGUCUUGUAGUGCCUAAAGUCCUUCUUGCAUAGCUCAUUUAUCCAGAGGUCGAGUAAUCUACUAGACCGUUGAGGUUCAAUGUCCACUAGAUCAAGUGGGGAAUCGGUGGCGGGAAGGGGCGUUGUUGGGCGUGGCCAACGUCGCUGGUAUACAAAGCCUAGCUUAAAGCAUUCAACAACAUGGGACACAUCAUCAAAAUUGGGAAGCAUGGCAAGAUCAGAUUGCAAAAUAAGGUGAGACUGAAAGAAAUAUUGAUUCUCAAAGAAAAUCACAUUUCAGGAUACACGAAGUUUGUUAGUGUUGGAAAACCGAAACUGAUAUGGAAAGAAAUAACUUUGUAAAGCUGUAAAUUAGCUAUUAGUUGUCAAUCUUUGUAUUUUUAGGAAAGUAAUUGUUAGGAGUUAUUCUUUCCUUUUAAUCAGUGAUUUAGUUUCUUGAUUUGAAGGAUUUGUAUAUGCUGUAACCUCUAUAAAAGAAUAAUCUCAAUGAAAAAAAUUUAUUCCCGUGAAACCCUAUUCUUCAAGUUGGUAUCAGAGUUAGCAAUUUGCUUGCCGAAAUCCUCCUUCUUCCUCUCUUUCAAUCCCUGUUCUCUCUGAAACCAUGUCGGAUAUUUCAAACGAGUCCACUAUUGUUCCUCAACCUUCUUUGAACAAUCCCAUCAUCACUGAUUCUUCAAAAAUCAGUCCUACCACCUCGGAAUCUCACUCUAUUCAAAUCACCACGAUUCACUUGAAUAGUGACAACUUUCUAAGAUGGUCUCAAUCAGUUCGGAUGUACAUCAGAGGACGUGGAAAGAUGGGCUACUUGACGGGUGAAAAGAAGGCUCCUGCAGUGGAUGAUCCGAACUAUGCUAUAUGGGAUGCUGAGAAUUCCAUGGUAAUGACAUGACUUGUGAAUUCUAUGGAAGAAGACAUUAGCUCUAAUUACAUGUGCUAUCCAACAACACAAGAGCUUUGGGAGAAUGUAAAUCAGAUGUAUUCUGAUUUAGGGAAUCAAUUACAGAUCUUUGAAUUAACCCUCAAACUCGGUGAGAUACGACAAAGUGAGGACAACGUCACAAAGUACUUAAACUCCUUGAACCGGAUCUGGCAAGACCUUGACCUCUUCAACACCUAUGAGUGGAAAUCUACCGAGAAUGGACGUCAUCAUAAGAAGACCAUGGAAGACAAUCGAAUCUUCAAAUUCUUGGCUGGCCUUAAUGUCAAGUUUGAUGAGGUAAGGGGGAGAAUCAUUGGAAUACAACCCCUGCCUUCAAUUGGUGAAGUUUUUUCAGAAGUUAGAAGAGAAGAGAGUCGGAGGAAUGUGAUGCUGGGCAAGAAGGGACUUGGAGUUGCUAUUGAAGGUUCAGCCUUGGUUACCACGGGUGGAAGCUAUAAUAAAGUUGCUGCAUUUCAGCGCAAAUCAGAUGAAAGACUAGGGGUUUGGUGUGAUUUUUGCAACAAACCUCGCCAUACUCGUGAGAACUGUUGGAAAAUCCAUGGGAAACCUACAAAUUGGAAAGGAAAAACAGGUGACAAACCAGGCCGAGCCAUUAUUCCUACUACUAAUGAGGCUAAGACCAGCCCCUUCACCAUUGAGCAAAUGGAGCAUCUUCUUGCACUACUAAAAUCCAACUUGACAUCCGGUACUUCUAGUGUUUCUUUGGCACACAGGUAAUGAAUUAUAUGCUCUAUCUUGUCGUUUUAAAUCUACUCCAUGGAUAAUCGAUUCUAGAGCAUCCGACCACAUGACCAAUUCCUCAAACAUGUUUGAAUCCUAUUCACCGUGUCCUGGAAAUAAAAAGGUUCGGAUAGCUGAUGGUAAUUUCUCACCUAUUGUAGGAAAAGGUCUAAUAAAAAUCUCUGAGGGAAUAGAUCUUAAAUAUGUUCUCCAUGUUCCUAAACUUACUUGUAAUCUCUUGUUUGUUAGCAAAUUAUCUAGAGAUUCUAAUUGUUGUGUUAUCUUCUAUGAAUCCUAUUGUAUUUUUCAAGACCGGAGCUCGGGGAAGACGAUUGGCAGUGCUAGGAUGAUCAAUGGUCUCUAUUAUUUCGAGGAUAAUUUACCUAAUAAUAAAAUUUCUCAAGGACUAAGUAGUAUUAGUUCUCUUUUUGUUCGUGAUCAAAUAAUGGUUUGGCAUUGCAGAUUAGGUCAUCCUAGUUUUUCUUAUUUAAAACAUUUAUUUCCAGUGUUAUUUCAAAAGGUUGAUCCUUUAUCAUUUCAAUGUGAAAGUUGUUUAUUGGCAAAGAGCCAACGUAAAACUUACAUUCCAAAACCCUACUAUGCAUCAAAACCAUUUUAUCUUUUUCACAAUGAUGUUUAAGGACCUUCAAAAGUAACCACAAUUUUAGGAAAAAAAUGGUUUGUGACCUUUAUAGAUGACCAUACAUGUCUUUGUUGGGUAUAUUUAAUGAAGGAAAAAUCUGAAGUCAAAAGGAUUUUUAAAGAAUUUUACAAAAUGAUUGAAAACCAACUUCAAACAAAAAUCAGUAUUUUGAGAUCUAAUAAUGGGACUGAGUACUUUAAUAAAGUUUUGGAAACCAUUUCAAACGAGAAAGGAAUUUUAUAUCAAUCCUCAUGUUCCGAUACCCCUGAACAUAAUGGAAUAGCUGAACGUAAAAAUAAACUCUUGUUAGAAGUAGCACGGGCUAUGAUGUUUUACAUGAAUAUUCCAAAAUACUUAUGGGAGGAUGCCAUACUAACUGCUUCAUAUCUAAUCAACAGGAUGCCUACAAAAAUUUUGCAGUAUAGCACUCCUUUGAAGUGCUUGAAAAAGGUAUUUCCAGAAUCUCGAAUUAAUUCUGAGUUACCCUUGAAAAUAUUUGGUUGCACUGCAUAUGUACACAUUCCAAAAAGGUUAAGAUCUAAAUUAGACCCAAGAGUAGAAAAAUGUGUUUUUGUAAGAUAUAUUCCAAAUAAAAAGGGUUACAAAUGUUUUAAUCCCCUUACAAAACAUUUUUACACAACUAUGGAUGUUUCUUUUAUGGAAAAUGUCACAUAUUUUACCAAAAAUUUACUUCAAGGGGAGAAAUUAGUAGAACCAAAUUUUUAAGAGAUUGUUGAACCUUUGCCUAAUGUAAUUCUUGAUAUCUCUCUUGAAAAAGAAAAUAAGGAAACUAAGCCUACUGAAUCCGAAUAUGAAAUUGGUCUGUCAGAAAAAGAAAUACUACAAAUGAAAAAAAAAUAAAAACAAUCUUAAGCCUGUGGUUUAUUCAAGGAAAAAAAUCCCUGGAAGAAGUAAAGACCAGCCGAUCAUCCCAACACAUGGUCAACCAAAAGCCCUAGGAAAUGGCUCUCUAAAUGUCUCAGGUAACCCUCCUUCUAUUCCUACUCCUAUACAUACUUCUUCUUCUUCUAUUACUGAUCUAAGUUUACCAUCACACUUUGGUCCAAGUCCAGAAAUAUCUGCACCCGAACCUGGUUUAGGAUUAGCCUCAGUUGUUCCUGCACAGGACCUUGACCUUGAUCUCCCUAUUGCUCUUAGAAAGGGAACCCGAGCCUGCACUAAACAUCCCACUACCAAAUAUAUCUCCUACAGUAACCUUUCUGACAACUAUAGAGCAUUCACUACAAAUAUUUCAAAACUUGUGAUACCUAGAAAUAUUUAAGAAGCACUACAUGAAUCGAGUUGGAAAUUGGCAGUGUUUGAGGAAAUGAAUGCCUUAAAAAAGAAUGGCCCUUGGGAGGUUGUAGAUUUACCAAGGGAAAAAAAAGUUGUAGGGUGCAAAUGGGCGUUUACAAUAAAGAGUAAAGCAUACGGAAGUGUUGAAAGAUACAAAGCUAGACUUGUGGCAAAGGGUUUUACUCAAACCUAUGGGAUAGACUACUAAGAGACUUUCGCCCUCGUAGCUAAAAUAAACUCGAUUAGAGUUUUGUUGUCCCUUGCAGUAAAUUCCAAUUGACCCUUACACCAAUUGGAUGUUAAAAAUGUCUUUUUUAAUGGAGACCUAGAGGAGGAAGUGUUCAUGAGUCCUCCACUAGGUUUUGAAGAAAGUUUUGGAGUUGGGAAAGUGUGCAAAUUGAAGAAGUCCUUAUACGGACUUAAGCAGUCGCCUAGAGCUUGGUUUGAGCGUUUUGGCAAAGUAAUAAAGCAUUAUGGAUAUACUCAAAGUCAAGUUGAUCACACGAUGUUCUACAAACAUUCAAAUGAAGGUAAAGUAGUCAUCUUAAUUGUGUAUGUUGACGAUAUUGUGUUAACUGGGGAUGAUUGCAAUGAACUAGAGAAACUGAACGGGAAACUUGCUGAGGAAUUUGAGAUUAAGGACUUGGAGGCAUUAAAAUACUUUCUUGGGAUGGAGUUUGCUAGGUCCAAAGAAGGUAUCUUUGUAAAUCAACUGAAGUAUGUUCUUGAUCUUCUUAAUGAGACAGGUAUGUUAGGAUGUAAGCCUGUUGAAACACCAAUAGAGCCGAAUAUAAAACUGCAACCUACAAAAGCCAAAAAUGUGAAGGACCGGGAUCGUUAUCAGAGGUUUGUUGGGAGAUUGAUUUACCUAUCCCAUAGCAUUCUCAGUGAGUAUGGUUAGUCAGUUUAUGCAUGCGCCUGGACCAGAGCAUUUUGAAAUUGUUUAUAUGAUUCUAAGGUAUCUAAAAGGGACACCAGGUAGAGGUCUUCUGUUUAAGUCACGAGGACACCUACAAAUUGAAACCUACACCGAUGUAGAUUGGGCUAGAAGCAUAGUGGAUCGAAGAUCCACCUCUGGGUAUUGUUCAUUUGUAGGUGGCAACUUGGUUACAUGGCGAAGUAAAAAACAGAACAUAGUUGCUAGAAGCAGUGCUGUGGUUGAGUUUAGAGCUAUAGCUCAUGGUAUUUGUGAGAUUAUGUGGAUAAGAAGAUUACUAGAAGAGUUAAAGAUGACAGGUUCUUCUCCUAUGAAGUUGUAUUGUGACAACAAGGCAACAAUUUCAGUAGCUCACAAUCCGAUUCUCCAUGACUGCACCAAACAUGUGGAAGUGGACAAGCAUUUCAUUAAAGAGAAGAUAGACAACGGAUUGGUUUGUAUGACCUAUAUCCCUACUGAGGAACAAAUGGUUGAUGUCUUCACCAAAGGACUACACAAGAGGCAAUUCGAUUUUCUAUUUGGCAAGCUGGCUAUGAAAGAUAUCUUUAAGCCAGCUUGAGGGGGAGUGUUGGAAAACCGAAACUGAUAUGGAAAGAAAUAACUUUGUAAAGCUGUAAAUUAGCUAUUAGUUGUCAAUCUUUGUAUUUUUAGGAAAGUAAUUGUUAGGAGUUAUUCUUUCCCUUUAAUCAAUGAUUUAGUUUCCUGAUUUGAAGGAUUUGUAUAUGUCGUAAACUCUAUAAAAGAACAAUCUCAAUGAAAGAAAAUUAUUCCCGUGAAACCCUAUUCUUCAAGUGUUAGCAAUAGCAUCAUAACAAACAAAACCUUUCUAAGCAUUACUAUACCCCAUAAAAGCACAUCAUGUAGAUUGAGCAAUAAGUUUGUGACGUUCAGUGGGUGGGAGAUGGACAAAACAAACACACCCAAAAGUAUGAAGGGAUUGAUACUCAAGAUGAUUACCAAACAAGCGGAGAUAAGGAGAUUCAUACUACAAGGUCUGUAUAGGCAAGCAAUUAAUCAAGUAGAUAGCAGUAGACAAGGCUUCAACUCAAAAUUUAGAUGGAACAGAGGAUUCAAUUAACAAAGUAUAAACAACAUCCAAGAGAUGUCGAUUCUUGAACUCAACCACCCCAUUUUGGUAUGGGGUGUAGGGGCAAGAGCAUUGAGAAAGGAUCCUCUUCUACUAUAAGUAGUUCUGAAAAUUGUGAGACAUAUACUCUUCCCCUAAAUCAAAACGCAAGACCUUAAUACAAGCUGAAAAUUGCGUUUCAAUUAGAGCAACAAAGGUUUGAAACACAGAGAACACAUCUACCUUAGAUCGAAGAAAGUAGAACCAGGUGAUAUGACUAUAAUCAUCAAUGAAAGUUACAAAAUACUUGUACUGAGCAUGAGAAAUAACCGGACUAACACCCCAAACAUCAUAAUGAAUUAUCUCAAAGCAUUUUGUAGCACAACUGCCAUGCAUAGGAAAAGGUAAGGUCUUGUUUUUGCCAAGUUUACAAGUAGCACAAUCGAGACACAAAUUAAGAGAUGAAAACUGAUCUUUAGGGCCUGUUUGUUUAGUGUUUUCAAGAACUGUUUUCUGUUCUUGAAAACAAAAAACACCAAAAACUUGUUUGGUUGAAAGAGUCAUUUUUGUUUUUGUUGUUCCCCGUGUUCUCAAAAUGGCACUAUUUAGAGAACAACAAAAUGUUGUUUUCCCCGUUUUUGUACUGUUUAUAGAACAAAAUUAAAGAACAAAAAACACAUCUGUUCUCCGUGUUUUUCUUUUUCUUCCCGUUCUCAUCUCUCUCCAGCACAGUCGUGGCGCCUCUUCUCCAGCACAGUCGCGACAUCUCCAGCAAGAAACAAAGGUAAUUUCCACAGAUGUUGAAGUUAUUUUUUAUAGAUCUAAUAAAAUAGGUUUUUUUUGGCAAUAUUUGUUGAGGAAAAUGUUAGAUCUGAUAAAGAGAUAUCAGUUAUGUUAUUCGAAUUUUUUUUUUAUCACCUGCUGUUAGUUUCUUUUUUUCUCGUUUAUAUAUUCCUGUUUGGAUGCUGAGAAAACUAGGAAACGAGAAGGAAUAUAGAAUGAGAUCUGAGAUUUUUUUGAUCACCUGUUAGUUUUUUUUUUUUUCGUUUAUAUUUUCCUGUUUGGAUGCUGAGAAAACUAGGAAACGAGAAUGAAAAUAAGCCCAAAAAUUCCUGAUUUUUUCCCGUUUUGAUUUUUGUUGAGUUGUUCUGUUAAAAAAAAACAAAAACCUUACUUAAAGACAUGGAAAUCAAACGGGAAAAUCCAAGCUUGAGUCUUGACGGGUGAAAUACCUCAAGGAAAAUGGAAAAAAUAAAGAGAAUCAGAAGAGGAUGAGGUGUUGAAUCACCAAGAACCUUUUCUCUCUGUAAAUCUGCUCUUCCUCUCUCUCAUCCAGACUCCAAAGCCCGGUUAACCUCUAUUCUUUGGGCCUGUUUGGAUGCUGCACUAAACAAACAGACCUUAAGAGUUGGGGGUUGAAUGCAGCGUGAAGCAACAUACCCUCCACGUGUUUGAACUUUGAACCUGCCCUUUAUAAAUUCCAAAUUCCCACACCUCACCAAACAUCCUUCAUAAUCCAUUUUCCCUAUUUUUUGUUGCUUGUUUGUAUACUUGUCUGAUUUAGAAAUGCUAUGGCGCCCAAGCAAAGCUACUUCUUCCCACUUUCCGAUUUCAUGAAAGCAAAAAUAAUUAAAAAAUUAUAAUAAAGUAAAAAAUAAAAUCAAAAUUAUUAAAUUAUUUUCUAUAUACUACUUCAAACUUAUUUUUAUUUUUUCAUAUGAUUAUAUAAUUUAAAAUAUAUAAAUUUUAAUUAAUUUUAAUUGUAUAUUUUUGUAGUAAAUCAAACAUUAAAAAAUUAAUUUUUUAACAUUAUUGAAAUCAAAAUUAUUGAAAUCAAACUUUUUAAAAUAUUAAAUUAUUUUGAUGUCUUAUUUAUUUUAUUUAGAUUAGUUAUAAAUAUUAAAUUAAUUCUUUUUAAAUUUUUUUAUCUCAUCUUAAUAGAAUAUACUAUAAUUUUUAAUAAAAUUAAAUAUUAAAUCAAUAAAAAAUAAUAAAAAUGAUUUUAUCAUGUUUGAUUUAUUUUAAAAAAAUAUAAAAAAUAUUUUAAUUUUAAAAUUAAUCAAAUAUAAAAUUAAUCAAACUUACUUUUCUUUCUUUUUUUUUCCCCCAAUUUUUGUUUCAAAUUUUAUAAAAACUAAAAAAAAAAAGUCUUUAAAAUCUAAUUAAUAUCAAAUCUAAUUUUAUUUUUAUUUAUUUUUCUUUCAUAUUUUUAUACACUACACUAUACGUCAACAAUCUUAAUUCUCAUUUAAACAUAGCCUUAAGUUCUAUUGGUGGUUUUAAAAGCUGUCUCCUCAUAGAGUUCUUAUUUGUGAUGGGAUUGUACAGAUGACAACUGAGAUAACAGAUGUUGAGGAUGCAGGAACAUGGAGAGGUAAUAUAGAGAAAAUCUUUAUUGACAUCAUGGUAAAUGAAGUUAAUAAAGGUAACAUGGAUAGUGGUACAUUUAGUACCAACACAUGGAGAAGGAUCUUACUUGAGGUCAAUAGUCAAGGGAAAAGAAAUUUCAACUUGAAGCAGCUUAAACAAAAGUUUAAUAGACUACGUGCAAUGCACCGUGAGUUCUCUGAUCUUUUAAAGCAUACUGGAUUUGGUUGGGAUGCUGAAACUAACACAGUGCAUGCUCUAGAGGAAACCUGGCAAAAUUACAUUCGGGUAAAAAUAACUUUUAAACUAAUUACUUUUUAAUUUAAAUAUUUGGUAAACACUAAGAGUGAAUUUUUUUUUUCCUUCUAUUAGGCACACCCAAAUGCAAAAAGAUUCCGCUCAAAGGGAUGCCCAAACUACAACUUGUUGGGAUUGAUCUUUAAUCCAUCAACAGCAACCGGUGCCCUCCACUACUCUUCCACCCAAGAUCCACCAAACACUGAUGAUGAAGAUGAGAUGGAUGACAAUUUGGAACAUGGUGGAGUGCAUGUGGAUGUAGAUACUGAGAUCCCUGAUGAUCCUCCACAACCAGAAAUGGCAGGAGGAGUGACCACCCGUUCUGGAAAGCGUGUAACUGAUUCUCUAUUAGAGCGUAAAGGUAAGAAAGAAUCCAGAUUAAGUCAAAUGGGAGAUGCUUUGAAAGCUUGGGUUGAGGCAUCAAAGGCUAGAACAGAAACAUCUCGAGCUAGAACUGAGGCAUUAUUGGCUAGAGUGGACAGAUAUAAGAGUGGAACUAGUAGUGAAGCUACUAGUGGAGGUACCACUGAUUUUAGCAUAACAAGGUGUAUGGCAGCCUUACAAACCAUUGAACUGUUAGAUAAUGACAAAUAUUUAAAAGCUGUUGAGAAAUUCACAGUGCCGGAGUGGAGAGAGAUAUUUAUGAAUAUGCCUGAUGAGAGGAAAAUGGCAUGGCUUAAUAGACUUUAAAUGUGAAUGUUUGGAUGCAUAACUAUUAUGAUGACAUUGUAAUAUGUACUAUUUAUCUUUUGGUUAGAAUCUUUUACCAUGCUCUUUAGUUUGUCAUUGUAUGGAUGUUAUUUAUGGUUAUGAAACUUAUAUUAUAACUACUUUAAUAUUCAUUUCGUGCUAUUUUAUAUUGUGAGUUCAUUUGUUUUAUGUAGUAACCAAUGGAUGAUAAUAACACAAGCAGUGGUGAACUAUAUGACUCAACUUCAUCUUCUGAAGAGGGUGAUGAUUUAGAUGAAAUUUUUAUUGCUCACAUUAUGAAUGAGUAUGAGGAAAUAUUUUUAUGCAAGACACCUCAAAGGACAUCAAUGUUAAGUGGUGCACAAUUUGUAAGAGAUAUGAUAGAAGGUCAUCCUCAGACAUGCUAUGAACUAUUUCGGAUGGAUAAAGAAACAUUUAUGAACCUUUGUGAUCAUCUUAAGAGACAUGAAAACUUACAGGAUACACGAUUUGUCACAGUUGAAGAGGCAAUGGCUAUGUUCUUACUAAUCGUAGGACAUAAUGUGAGAAUGAGGGUUGUAGCAGACCGUUUUCAACACUCCACAGAGACUGUCGCUCGACACUUUAAAGAAGUUAGACGUGCAUUAUGUCGACUUGGCAAAAUUCUCAUAUGUCCUAACAAUAUGACCAAUGAGGUGUCUUCAUAUGUUGCUAGUAAUCCUAAAUAUUUUCCAUGGUUUAAGGUAAGAGUUUAUAAAAAAAUAUUUAUAAAUGUGAAUUUCAUGACGAUUAUUUAAUUUAUUUCCUUAAUAAUAAUAAAUGUUUGUUGUUGUAGGACUGUAUUGGUGCAAUUGAUGGCACUCAUAUUAGUGCAUGGGUCCCAGCUGAUAGACAAACCAGUUUUAGAGGUAGAAAAACAGUUAUAACACAAAAUGUUAUGUGUGCAUGUAAUUUUGACAUGAUGUUUACAUUUGUUUAUGCUGGUUGGGAAGGAACAGCAAACGAUGCACGUGUCUUUUUAGAUGCAUUGACUAGACCAGAAGUCAAUUUUCCUUGGCCAAGUGAAGGAAAAUAUUAUGUAGUUGAUUCUGGUUAUCCUUGUAUAUCUGGAUUUUUGCCACCAUAUCGAGGUGAGCGAUAUCAUUUACAAGAAUAUCGGGGUAGACGUAAUCAACCUAUCAGGUAUAAAGAACUUUUUAAUUAUAGACAUUCAUCUCUUCGAAAUAUUAUUGAAAGAUGUUUUGGUGUUUUAAAGACCCGAUUUCCAAUAUUAAAGAUGAUGCCUUGUUAUAAGCCAAGUAGGCAACCAUCAAUUGUUGUUGCAUGUUGUACCCUUCAUAAUUGGAUUCGUCUAUCAACUCGAAAUGAUCAAUUGUUUAGAGAAUAUGAGGUAGAAGACCUUUCAAUCGAAUGUGAAGAAGAGAGCACAAGUAGCAGAAACCAUUCAAUUGAUUUAUCAGAUGAGAGUGCAGCAGCUAUGGCAGCUUGUAGAGAUCAAAUUGCUGAAGUGAUGUGGGCAAAUUAUAUUAAUGUCAAUCCAUGACUUGUCUUAUUUUUAAUUUUAAAUAUUUGUCAACACUUUAGUGUUAUGUUAGAAUUUAUAUAUAUUUGCUAACUUAACUAGUUCUCAUUAGUGUUAUGUGAUGUUUGUUUUAAUUUCUAAUGAUUAAAUAUUGCUUAUAAAUUUAAUUUAUAAUUGUAAAAGUAGGAUGGACAAAAGACCCAUGUGAAAUACAUACAUCAUAUUUUAUUUUAUUUUUAAUAAUUUAUCAACUUAUAUAAAAAAUUUAAAAUUAAAUAAUUUUUUAAAUUUAAAUGAAAUGUGUAUUUAAAAAUAUUUAUAAAUUUAUAAUAUAAAGUUACUUGAAGAAAAUAUUUUAUUAAUUGAAAAAGAAAAAAAAACAUCUUUCAAACAUGUUUUUUUAUUAACUAAGCCAAAUAUGUUUUUUUUGUUUUUGAGAACAAAAACUGUUUUUCAAAAUUCAGUUCCCAAACACAAUUUUUUUUCUAAAAACACCAAAAACUGUUCUUAAAAACUGUUCUCAAAAACUGUUUUCCAGAACAGUUUUUAAAAACAGCAACCAAACAGGCCCUUAUUCCCCAAAUGACCAUGUUUCAUUAGAUGUGUCAAUACUACAGAAUUUGGAUGGCCCAAUCUUUUAUGUCAUACCUCACUUUUAUUUGCUACUAUAAUACAAGCCAAAGACAUUAAACUAGGAAUAUAAAAAUGUAGAGGAAAUAAACGUCCCACUUUAGGCCCCUUCGCUAUCACCGUCCCGGACACCUAAUCCUGCACAAUACAACCACCAUGAGAAAAAUGAACAUCACAGUUAGUAUCCACCAAUUGGCCAACAUAAAUCAAGUUUGUAGACAACCCCGAUGACACAAAAACAUCAUUGAAACCAUGGCCAAGAGUGCCAACAGCAGUAAUAGGAAGUACUGCUAUUGGCAACCUGAAUGUGUUGGGCACCUUCAUACUUGUGAAUACCAUGUAACAUAUAUUCGUUGCCAGUCAUAUGAUUUGAGGCUCCCGAAUCUACAAACCAAGAAGGUGUGAGCUGGAAACUCUUACCUUGAAGUUCGAAAGAAAGAAAGCUGACAUAAUCAUUUGUUCCACCAUCUCGGGUGUGAGUCCAGGUUGAUUAAUGCCAGCUGGCCCAGUUGAAGUGGAUGCAACAUUCUGUGAAAGAUCUAAAGCCACUGGUGGGAUCUGAACAUCCGUAUGAAAUGCCUGUGCCUAUUUGUUUUCGGGUCGUAUUUGGCAUUCCUUAAUGAUAUGGCCAUCUUUCCUGCAAUAGUUGCAGAAUUUCUUGCUGCAAUUCCGUGCAAUAUGCCCAUAUUCCUUGCAGCUGUAGCAUUGAAUUUUUGUCUGGUUUCUUCCUCUUCCCUGAGCGGCAUAGGCCACGUUAACCACCUCGGAAUGAAUCCUAGCUUGAGUCAUUCCAAGUUGAGAGGACAGCCGCUACUCCUCUCUUAACAAUUCACCAAGACAGACAUCCAAUGAGGAGACAGGAUCAUGGUUUAGCAAACCUGCCCGUGUAGUCUCAAAUUCUGAUCUCAACUUCAUCAGAAAUUGAUCUCUCUGACUCUCAGCAUGAACAUCCUGAAGUGCACUUAGUGCUGCUUGAGGAAUCUUGGCAUGAACAAUGCUCGAAUACUCGCUCCAUAAAUUCAAAAAUCCACCAUAAAAUUGGUCAAUGGACAGAUUUCCUUGGCUGUAGUUAGCGAUCUCCAAUUCCAACUGGAACCUUCGAGCAUUGUUGUCUUGAUUGUAGAUAGGCCUCAAAUACUCCCACAUCUCUUUAGCAAUGGUGAAGCAACGAAGGUUAUUCACCAUGUGAGGCUCAAUAGAUCCCAAAAGCCAAGAAACAAUUCUUGCGUCCUUGUUGUCCCAUUGAGCAAGAUCUGUUCCGCCGGCAGGAGCUUCGCUCUUGCCAUCUAUAUGGCUCCACAACUCUUUCCCUUUCACUAAAUUCCUAAAUUGGAACUCCAAUGCCAAGUAAUUUUUUCCACUAAAACGCACAAUAGUGUUUUCUCCUAACAUCAUGCAAAAGUAUUAACUUCUAAUGGACAGAAACUCCAUAAACGAAUUCAGGCAAUCCGCAACACACUAAAUUACCCUCUGCAGAUCAAAAGGAAACCCAGAAAACUCUCAAGAACCUCCAGAAAUCCUCCAAGAGAACACACCACCGAGACCCACAAAUUGACUAAAAAACCAAAGGGCCCGAAGGGCUAAACCAAGAGAUUACGAGAGAUUGAGACAGCAAAGAGUUCUGGUUCAGAAAGUAGCUUUGAUACCAUGUCAAUUUGUCUGAAUGGCCUUCACAUCUUUAGACCUUUCGUAUAUAUAAGAACUAUACAACAAGAUUUAAUAGCGUUUCCGCUAAUUACAAUAGAGAUUUUCUCCCAAUACCCUAGCUGUACAUGCUACUCCUAUAUGGAAAACCCAACUGUACAAAAUAUAGAUAAUGAAGACUUGCCGCAUAUAGAGAAAAUAGGGCUUAAAGACCUGCCGCAAGCCUCAAUGGGCUUGGGCUCAAGCUGCGGCACUUAAAGACCUGCCGCAAGCCUAAUUGGCCUUGGGCACAAGCUGCAGCAAACCUAACUAAUAGGUUGCCACACAUCCUAUUAACAUCAACCACACCCACCAAGAGUACUAUCCACAUCCACUUAUCUUGAGAUCCAUAGUUCCUGUAAUGAUUCCCUUUCCCUUUUCUAUUUUCUUUCAUCAAGCCCUUGUUUUGAAGGGCUGAUUAUCAUCACCCAUCCUAACAAAUAAAAAAUACUCUUAGAAGUAAAAAAAUUAAAAAAUUCUGGUUAUAAUUCUACUUGCCUCACAGCAUUAAGUUUCCAGCAUCAAAGUAUUUAAGCUCCAAACUAGAGGCAACCAGACUGUUUACAUGCCGGUUUGUCUCUCUCAACCAAUUAUCUUCCAGAUCUAACUUUACUUAUAUGAGCUCUUGAAAUGCUGACAUAAGGACUGACGUCUCAUGUAACCAAUCAGAAUGGUGUCAAAAGGUAAUUACAUCACAUGUUAACAUAAAAGAAUGGAGAUGGAAUGCAAAGGAGUUUGACAUGAAAAACACACUCCACAUGUUCAAUUUAAUGUGUAGUGAUCCUUAACAGUGUAACAUACGAAAAGAAACACUAAGAAAGCCAAUCUACUAAAAGAAACAAGGCAUGAGCUUUCUCAUCCAGAUGCAGCUAUUAUCAAUCUUACAAACAUGAUUUCCAGGUGUUUAAGCAUUGUUUCAAUGAUGCAAAUGUCAUUUAUUCCUUACUGAAACAGUUGUACCUUUAUCAUUUUGAAGACAGGAAAAUAAUUGCUCUCAUAGUAUUGGGACAAUGACAAACCUCUUCCCCAAAAGACCAGGGUUCAUGGUCAAUUGUGUCAGUUUCAGAAUGCCCACGACAAAAAGGAAACAUAGCACCCACACCCAUCCACCUUCCAAACAGCCUGGGUGUCGCAUUUCUACCGAAUCCACCAAUGUCUGGUCCUGAUAAUGGUUGACCACUGAGCCCCUGGACACACACUAAAAAGCAUAAUUAGAGCAAUGAUUUGUAUUAUAGAAACUUAAGGUGGGAUCAUAUGUAACUUUCUCGUCUGCAGUUUGAGUGUAUGUGUGUGUUUAAGGUAGGGAGGAUGUUAAAUCACAGUCUAGGGGAAACAUGUCAAACUUCAAAUUAAACACAAUUUCUUUCGUUUGUUCGAAAUCAAAUGUUCGUAACUUUGGAUUUUAAGGAAGAAUCCAGGAGAACAUCAAUUUUUGGUUUUUUUCUUCUUUGGUGUCCAAGUUGGUUGACCAUACCAAAAUUCUUAUCGUCACUGAUUUUCCUGAUGAAUUACAUUGUUUUAUUCAUGUUAUCUUGGCUAUUUCCUAGCUAGACAAAUUGGGGAACAAAUAAUAUAAUGUCACUCAGUGCAAAGGACGUAUUAAACUACACCAUGUUACUAAGAGGAUAACUAGGCCCUGCUACUGAUUCUUUGUGCAAGAGGUAAGGAAACAUAGUUCUCCUCUACCCAGUGCAGCUGAAAUUAAAAGAGGUAGUUCUUCUCUACUCAAUGCAGCUGAAAUUUGAGGAGCUUCCCUUUGUUUGAAAGAGCUAAUGCAGCUGAGGGGAUAUAGAAUAUCAUUGUUCAAGUGGAUAUCCAGAUCCUCAAAGCAUCAUGCUAGUGAGUGUAAGUGGGAUUAGAAUGUGGUCAGACAUGUAUUGAUGUUAGCAAAGAGAAAGAACUCAUGAAACUAUGGAGUCAUGGACUGUGGAUUCAGAUCAGGUGCAACUUCCACAUAUCGGUAUUUCUAUACCUCCAUUUCUCUAGUAGUGGAUUGCUUUCAGAUGGAAGUCCUGUAGUUUUCACCCUUCGGGUUUUUCCACAUAAAAAGUUUUGCAUUCCUCGUGUUUAUUUUUCUACCUUAUUCUUUUAUUUAAUUGUCACUGCAUAUCCAGAUCUUGGGACUCAUCUUGACUCGGCAAACAAAUUUUUUUUUUUUUUUGAUAGGAAAAAAAAAUUAUAUAUAUUGAUAGAAAAAGAAUUACAAAAGAAAGAUGAGGAAUCCUCCCUCCAAAGAUAAAACUAAACAACACAAUAAAAGAACAAGAAACUACACUAUGAAAACUAUGAACAAGCUCUCUUGGCUAGACCAUCCCGUUGGAACUACACACUGCUAGCCAAUCUAGUUGUAACACGUUAAGGGGAAUGUCCUUAAAAACCACGGAACAAAAAGCCCAAAGAGCUAGAAGCAAGGAAAUGAAUGGAAUCCCAAAGAUUCUCUGAAUUCCUAGCUAUGUCCUCAAAUAUCCUAGCAUUUCUUUCCCGCCACACAACCCAAAUUAAAGCAAUGCACAUAUUUUGCCACAAAAAUAUCUCUCUCUUGGAAGUGCCAAAACCUUUAUAAUUGAUGGACAUCAUGUCUGAAAUGUUUAUCGGAGGAACCCAAUCCAUCUUGGCUAGCUGAAAUAAUCUGUGUCACAACCCCAUCGUCAAAGAACAAUGUAGGAAAAGAUGAUCUGUUGUUUCUCUUUGCUUCAUGCACAACUUACAAAUGUCAGAACUAAGAGCUUUGUAGGGUCUUCUCAAUUGUAGCAAGUCAUUAGUAUUUACCUUCUUGUGUACCACUAACCAGAUAAAGGACUUGAUUUUGAAAGGGACUUGAGAAUUCCAUACAAACUUAGUAGGGAAAAGAGGAGAUAAAUCAGGUAUUUGGGACAAGGCUAUAAAGAAAGACUUGACUAUAAACAAUCUUGAAGAAGAUAAAAACUAGGAUCUCGCUUCUGAAGCCGAAGUGGAUAAAUGCAUAUAAUCAAGAGAUCGCAUGAGACAUUCUAGAUCUUCUAUCUCUAAGAAAGUAAGGUUACGACGGAAAUUAAAGUUCCAAGAGAAAGGGCGAGCAGAACCGAGAAUUGAAGAAAUAGAGAUAUUUUUAUUCGUGACUACUCUAAAUAGUCUUGGAUAUUGUGAUCUCAAAGGUUAGUCCCCCCACCACAAAUCUUCCCAAAAGCGAAUUCUUUCACCAUCUCCUACCACAAACCAAAUAUACUUUGAAAAAUUCUGAAAGACUUGUGCAAUAGCCUUCCAAUGACAACGAUGUAAUCAUCUGACUAAAGUGUUGGCAUCUCAACCAUUUGAAUGUGUCCCAUAAAUGCUUAGAAUGACCUGAUGCCACAAACUUGUACUCUCCCUAGGAUACCUCCACAACUACUUCCCUAAAAGAGCGAGAUUCCUUAAAGAAAUCUUCCCAAACCCCAAUCCCCCUUUUGCCCUCGGCUUACACACUACGUCCCAACUAACAAGAUGAUCUCUUUUACCUUUCCCAACCCCUGACCAAAGGAAAUCCUUUUGCAAUCUCUCAAUUUUUGCAGCCAUUGAAGUGGACUCGACAAACAAAUUUAGGUGUGUUAAUUCAAUCAUUAAUUCAGAAUUCAUUGACAGGUUAAGUUUUAAUUCAGACCUACUUACCCUCUCACUCUAAGUCUUUCCGAAACUACCAUGGGUAUUCUCAAAGACAACUGAUUAUUAACCAUCUGAAGGAACUCCCUUAACUACAAAAUUGUGAACUCAAGAUUCUUCUAAGUUCUUUACUUGAUUUUUCACUCAAUUAAACAUUAAUAUUCAUAUUUAAAUAUUGAAAUUCUGUCCUUCAUGCCAUUUACAACAGUUUUGUGGUCAUUAAAAAAAAAAUUGAGGAUCUCAUGUAAUGUUUUUGAAAGAACACAUUCUAACCUCACACAUAAUAUUUUAUAUGCAACAUAAAGUUCGCAGCUUGGCGUGGCAAGAGAAGUAUGCAAUAGGCAUAACUCAAAAACAUGUUAAAAAGCAUAAAACAAGUUAAAUCUUCAACUUUGCAUCAGGCAAACAGCACAAGAUUCUCACAUCACUUACCAAUUGAAGCACCAUAGGGAUACUCAUAUGGAGGUGAUCCCAGUUUGAAAGGUUAUCUCCUGUCCAUGUUGCUGCAUAUCUUUGGCUACCUAUAAACCCAGCUCUGGUGAGAACAAAAGGACGCUUAUUUUCAUUAGCUAAUUUCAUUCCUUCAUAUGUUGAUCUUGCCAUCAGCAUGCCAUAGACCUAAUUGGGCAACAAAUAUAAAUAAUUGAAGUCCAAAGGAGAUUAUUGUAGUAUCAUCCACUCCCAAAACUAAAGCAGUGACAAAUAUGACUUUCAUAAACCAGUAUGUCAUUUAAAUUGCUACGACCCAGUGUAUCAAAGACAUCAACCCUAUUUCAAACUUGCAUAUGAUAUAUGCCUAUAAUUAAUAAUAAAGCAUGUACUACGGAAAGCACAAGACUGGGUUUGAAGAUUAAUACAUUGUGACAGUGUGAGUGAUUCUGACAACCUCCAAGCUCAGCAUCUCCUCUAUGAACAUUGUCCUCAGGCAUUGACUUUGUUACAGCCUGAAAAGCAAAAACAUUGAGACCAAAGAGCAAUGAAAGGAAAUGCAAGAAAUUGAGAAAGGAAUUUGAAAAAUCACCUUAAAAACAGUUGGCUCAUUCAUAUCGUUCCAUAUACCAUCAACACCAUUAGAAAUAAAAUCUUUGACUAAACAGGCCCACCAUGAACGAGCUUUUGACUGAGUAAAGUCAGGGAAAACACAAGGACCGGGCCAUACUUCCCGUAAAAUUCGAUGGGUAAAUCUCAGUAAAUCCAGAAAACCAAUAAUAACCAAGAAUACAAAUCUGUAAGGAAAAUAUACCAACAAAAGGUGUUCCAUCUGCUUUAUGUAUCCAGACAUCAUUUGCAGAAUCACUAUCAUAAACAAAGUAACCAUCUUCUUGUUUGAUCCCUGGGUCAAGCAUCCAGAUCGCUUUGAAACCAUUAAGAUGAAGAUCCUUGACCAAAGAUUUUGGAUCCGAGAAACGCUCCUGGGGGGAAUUAAUGUAGUUUAUUAUCCAAGACAUGAAUGGGACAAAGAAGUUAUAGAUUUCAUGGAAUAAGCCGUUUCCAAGUGAAAAUGUUGUUUUCAAGUAAACCAUGUUUACGUAUGGCAUGAGAUACUAAUCAGCAAUAAGCAGAUCUUGUAAUGAAUGCAUUCCUGAUGAUGUAAAGGCCUCUAUGUAGGUAACAAAUAGAUAAUUUAUAUCCCCCAUGCACAUGAAAUACAAUUGUAGAUGAAUACACAAAGGCUUCUUUUUCUGGCUGAGACUUUCUUUCCUAAUUAGUCAAAGGGACGGGGAACAUUCAUGGAGUCCAUGCCUUCAUACCACCACACGACUGGUCUUUCUUGGCAUAUCCACUUCCAAACAUAAGGAAGGGAUAGGGGAAGGGCCUACCACAUCAAAAAUCUUUGCCACCUAUUUCAUUAACCUUAUGUUUGGUUCCCGGAAAAUACUAAAGAAAGAAAAAAAAUGCAAAGGAAAAUAACUUUUUUAUGUUUGGUUGUCCUAUGAAAAAUAUCAAAGAAAAUCAAAUAUGAUUAAAACUAAUUAAAAACUUAUGUAUUUUUAAAUUAUUUAAUCUUUAUAUUGAUGAGUUAAAAUAAAUAAAAUGAGUUUAAAGUAACAAAAAAAAUAAUUUAUCAAUUUUUAAUCUAUUUUUUUAUUUUCCUUCACUUUUUCUUUCCCUUUGCUUUUCCUUUGUAUUUUCUUUCCCUUGCAUUUUCCUUCAAAUUUUCUGGGAACCAAACAUAGCCUAAAUGUUCUAGUGCAGGGUCUGGCCUUAUUUUACUGACCUUUGCAUAUCAAUAAAGAAAAUGGAUCUGCUUUGAUAAAGCAGUAAGUUCCAUCAGCCACAACUCAGUGCAGGUCAUGUGACCUACAGCUUGACCAUGUUCCCUCAACAGCACCUAAUCUAUGUUGAUUUUGGCAGAGCAUGCUCCACCACAGUGAACACAUGCAGUUCUGAUGUACCCAGAGGCAAAUCCGUUCACAAGUGUAUGACCAACACCAUUCAAGGUAGGUGGUCCACUAAAAUUGACUGGUUAGAGUCAAAUUGCUGAACAAGUCAGAGUAGCAUUAGCAUCCAAAUGUGGCUGCUAUAUAUGACCACUGACUGAAAGCUGUAUAUGAUUGCAUAAGAAAGUCUUGGGCAUAAUAUAGAGCAUCAAAGCUGGUUUGCUUAAACUGAUGAUUGAUUAUCAGUGUCAAAUUGCUAAACAAGCCAUCCAAAGGUUGAAAGCUGAUGUCUAUGUAAGACUAAUAAGAUAUUGUCAGAUGUAUGCUAGCUUAAUUGUACCUUACAGGCAGGAUCAUCCAGAUUUAUCAGAGGAAAAUAAUCCAAAAGAUACUGAAAUGCAAGUAUAACUGAUUGCUUCCAGUUGUCUAAUACACAAGCACACUGACACACAUUUUUCAGGAGGGAAAAAAAAAGACCUUGGACAAAAAUAGAGAAAGACUCACAUGAAAGUUUUCAUCCUGUAUUAAAUCCUGAAUAGCAUCUCUAACAUUAUUUGCAAAUGAUAAUUUAAAAACUCAGACUCUAGCCUACACAGUCAGAACAAUGAUGAAAUUUCUGUUAUUUCCCUUGAGUAUUUUGUUGAAUUAAUCCUCAGUGUGUACAUUGGUGGAAAUCAAAAUAUUUAAGAAAUGAGUACUAAACCGAUAGCUCAAACUACUAGAGUGCAUUACGAAUCUAUUCUAACUAUCAACGAAUUCCUAAAAAUGGGAAAUGCCCUACCUUUGAGUGCGGUUUGAACUAUUGAUUUACGGAAAUCUUAUCCAUUUAUAGAUGGAGCUUCAACAGCUGUAUCAUGGUGAAUUCUUCAGAAAAAAUUGUCUUCCACAACGGAAUCUGAUAAGUGAGAUUUCGAGUAUGUACAUUGUAGCCCCAAAUCCUAUAAUAAGCUUAAACUUUUAGAAAAAUCGAUUGUCUAACAUGGCAUUAGAGUUUUAUUUGGUGGGAGGUUAUGUGUUCGAAUAUCACUAUUACAUAUUUCUUUCCCUAUUUAUCAAGUUCACGUGUAAGCCAAAAAGGAGGCUACAUGUAGGGGAGGGUGUUGGAGUGCAUGAUAUACAUUUUGGGUUCAAAUUUUACAAGUUUAAACUUUUAGGAAAAUUGAUUGUCUAACACAGACCACAUGGAGAACUCAAGCUCUUGCUAGACAUAUAUUUCUUAUUUUGUUAGGUGAUCUAGGCACCAGAUGUCUUUAUUUGGAAACCAACCCUCCCUUACUUGUAAGUCUUUGGAUGUUCUUACAGGUCUUUUGCUGUUCUUACAGGUUUUGUAGAUUGCUUUAUAGUUCUCGCUUUUCCUGUUGUUGCUGUUAUAAAGGAUAUAGAUUCUUGCAUAUUUUCUAUCUUCACAUCAUAAAUACACUUUCCUUUCUUGUGAAAAAUGAUAAACAAAUGACAAUGACAAUAAUAGUAAUUGAAAUAUGAUCCAAAUGACUAUGAACUCAUCAUGAAACUAUAGUUCAUAAAUAUCUUAUAGGGGAUAUAUAGCUUGCCUGAUCAAAAGUGAAACAGCGAAAACCAUCCAUGUAAUCAAUAUCCAUCCAUAUGACAUCACAAGGUAUUCCCUUCUCACGGAAUGUUCGGGCAACCUGCAAGUAUGAGUGGGUAAAUGAAGCAGAAAAUUUGAGGGAAUGAAGUUCAAAGUUUAAAAGGUUCUACAAAGUAUUAGCAGUGUGUAAAAGAAGCUCUAAGAAUUACAAAAUCUAGGAUUCUACUUUUCCUCAGAAAAGAACAAGAUAUCAAGCCACAAAUGUCAUCUCAAAAAAAUACCAUUAACACAUUCUGGAGCUUAUUUAUGUAUAUGUUACCAAAACAAAACAAAGGACAUAAUAUUUGAAUGCAACAGCUAUGGAAGCAGAACUCUUAGCUUUGAGGGCUUCAGAGAUAUCAGUACUGGACAUACCACAUUCUUACCUUCUUCAAGAACAUGGUUUUACUUCUAAUGAGACAUUGAUCCACGAAAGGGUGAUGAGUUCUAGCAGCAUUUCAGACACCACUGUUGGGUGUCCCACAUUCUUGACCUCUUUAAGAACAUAUGCUUUUUACCUUUUCUUGGAAGCUUAGAUCUGCUAACCAGUAAGUUAACAGGCUUGCCAAGAGGGAAGGUUCUCUUGCAAAGGACAUUUGGAAAAACAUCCCACUCUCCUUUCUAUUGAGGGUUGUUUGGCUGAGUCUAAAGAUGUUGUAUUGAUUAUCAUGUUUACUAGCUUUCUUUACUUCUACCAUCUAUGAUUACAGGAUCUCUCAUCCCUGUGAUUUCUUUCUCUUUGAAAAAUAAUACUUUUAGUUUCCUAUGAAGUGAAAGAUUGAGAUAGGUUCAUAGCACUAACCUCGAGUACUCUCACAGCAGAAUCAUAGCUCCAUCGGCAUUGCUGAUAGCCUAAGGACCAUUUUGGGGGCAUAAAUAUAGUUCCUAGAGAGAAAGCAUCAGGCAUGCAACAUAAAUUGCUAUGAGCAAAUAUUUAAAUAGAAGGAUGCAAGUGUUAAACACAAACUACGAGACUUUUAAAUAAGAUGUUUCCUAUUUAACAAAAGAAGUAUCUUCCUUGGAAUUCAUGAUGAUGCCUUAUGAAGAGUUGGAUGCAGCACCAAGAUCUCAAAACAAACUUCAACUGCUCUUUUAAUUGGAUAAAUGUCACAAGAACAAAUGAGAUCAAAUGUCAUUCUCCUUGAAAUAAAUGAAAGCAUAGAGUACUUCUUGCUUUUGGAAAUUUGAAAUAAUUGAUGAUUUUUCCUAUACAUUAACAGCCUACUUAAAGGCUCCAUAAAAAAGAGAACUUUAUCAACAGGAAAUCCAUCCUCCCCCAGUCUCUUUAUUAAAGAGCUUGCAAGAAGAUCUAGUGGCUGUCAUUUCAAACCCAUAAAUUGCAAAUUACCGUUUCUUAUAUUAAGGGGAAAAAAAAAAGGAGAGAUAGAGAGACCUUCCUACAUUAUGGUUCUGAGAACAUGGGUCCUAAAAGAUGAAUUAUUAUGAUUUCUGGAACUUCAGCACAAGGGGAAACAUUAGACAGUGAAUCCACUAGUUUUCCAAGGUUUUUGGGUAUAAAUAGAGAGAGAGAGAGAGAGAGAGAGAGAGAGAGAGAGAGUAAAAUGCUGCUAGAGGGCUUGCAGUUUCUCCCUUGCCUCUUAUAUUUCUAAAAAAAAAAAAAAGAUAUCAUAAAACGCCAAAGACAACCUUAUAUUGUCUAGAGGAUAAAAAACAAUAAAACACGAAACUUACAACACACCCGUUCAAAUUAGUCCAUCUAUGUCUCAAAGACCCAGCUUGCAAACCUAGCACUUCGCACCCCUCCCCCCCACCCCUCCUUUUCUUUUUGACAGGCAAAUAGAGAAUAUAUAUUAAAGAUGCCUAAACAAAAGGCACAGAAACUUACACACACUGUAUACAUUUGACAUUCACCAAAGCCACACUUAAAAGGAGAGAAACAUAAAAAACAACCUCCCCCUCCUUACUUUAAGCUAAGCCAAUUCACAGAGUCAAUCAUUAACAUGGUCACCUAGCUCUUCAUAUUCCCUUAUACCAACUAACCACAGUGUAUGCUACCUAAAAAGUCCAACAACAUACAUUGCUUUGUUCCUAACGGGGCUCUAGACCACUCUACUAGGUAUCUUAUGAAGUUCUUCAAUUUUUGAUCGGGAAGCUCUUUCUUGUCAAAAGCCCGACUAAUACAUGCACCAGAACAAGCAAAGGGGAGCCAUACAGCAAACCUUCUGCCUUCUCUUAUCCAAGCCCU